AACCCUACUCUAAGUUUCGAGUGUAAGCUUUCCUGAAUCUAUAAUUAUCUUAUGGUUAUGUAUUGAGCAUGAAAUGUGAUAAGUGGGUAUGUUGAUUGUUGUGUAAAGUGCAAUUAUAUACAUGAAAUAAAUGUGUAAUAUAUAUGUUAUAUGACUAUGCUAGUGUUUUGCAAAAGAUGCUGAUAUGCAGUGAUAGUGCACAGAUAAUUGGUAGGUAUUAUAUGUUGUUUUCGAAUAUUAUGGCCUUGUGACCUUGGAACCAUUGAAUAUAGUUGGCAUGCCAUAGGAUUAUGAGUACUCACUUAUAUGUUUAGUGGUUUUGGGCGUUGAGGCUUUGGGACACGUUUGGAAGGAUAAGGGAAUGAGAGCUAAGCUCCAUUCAACAGGACAUGUGAGGGGAAAUAAGGAUAGUGAUAGCUAUUUGCUUCACUUUUGGGACUUGUUUGACUUUAUGAGUCUAUGUGGUGUAAUGGAGAUCCAUAUAUCCGAUGUGUGAUGAUAGAGCUCACUAUAUAUUUCAUAACGCAAGUAUCAUCUUAUCCCAGUUUAUCAUAUUUUAUGUAAUUGUGUGGAUUAUGUUCUAUGCUUGAAUGAGUAUGCAUGUGUAAUAAAAAUAAACUUGUAACACCCCAAACCCGGCUUGGACGUUAUGGCUGAAUCUGGCGAUGUCACAUGGUAGUGUGUUUGAAAACCGAAGGUUAUGUUGGAAAACCAUAACUUUUCUUAAAACAAUUUCCACUUAGAAACUUUUAAGAAUUUCUUAUUAAUUCUAAAGUCAUGUUAAUUAAUCAGUCGAAAAUUUUAAAAAUGUUUAAUCUAUACGGAAGCUUUUAAGAUAGUUUGCGUAUUUGUGUAUAUUUUGUUAAAAUGUUUGAUUCAUUUUGAAAACUCGAUUAUUCCUAUCACUAACAGUUAUAAACCAAAACGAUAUAAAUCCCAAAUUAAAAAUAAAAAUCCAAAGAGGCCAUUAUUACAGUAAAAUACCCCCAAAAUAAAAUUAUAAUUAUAAUUAAGUACUAAGUCGAAUUAAAUAGGUCGUGUGGCCACCGCUUAGUCUUCUGUCGCACUGAUCUGCCUAUGUCUAGGAAUUACCUGUACAGUCAAAUCAGAAAGGAGAGUUUACGAAAACUCAGUGUGUAAUCUCAUAUAAAGUAAAAAAAUAGAAAGCAAUCACAGUCUGGGCCUAAGCCCCUUUCAAUGUUAAAGACAAUACCAGUUUGGGCUUUAGUCUAUCUUAGCACACAAGCAAUCAUGUGUUUGGGCCUUGGCCCAUUACAAUAACAAUAAUCAGUACAGUAACAGAUUAUACAGUAAAUAGGUCCUACCCAGCCAGCCUCUACACUUCAUCUUCAUCCAACCCUACACUUCAUGUGGUGAUAUAAUCAACCCACCCAUCCUUAAACUCCAAAGUAGUACCAAAUGCGGCACUAGACAGCAGUUGCUGCUGAGCUGCCAGUAAGUUAGGCUCGAAGCCUUAAAGUACACUUCCUCCAAGCAAUAUCAACCUCCAAACCAAUGCAAUGCAUCAUACAGUCAUGUCAUGGUAUCAUGUAAAAGCAGUAUAGAGUAUAUAGCAUGCUCAAAGUACAAACAUACAUAUCUAUCUCAUAUAGGCAUAUAACAAAUUUUCAGUUAUUUCAGUCAAUUAGGGGUCUAGGUAAACUUACCGACCCUUCAGUAGGUUCACAGUCGACUUGGACGAUCUGUGCAACCUUAGUAGUCAAACAAUGAAAAUAGGCCCACAGGCCCAUGUUCUAAGCCUAGGUAGGCCCACACGUUCGUGAGGCCCACACGGCCUAAAAUAGCAUUGACUGUGUGGUUCACACGGUCUGGCCGAAUAUUCUCACAUGCUCGUGUGGUUAACAUAUGUGGGGCCCACACGUUCGUGUGGCCCACAUGGCCCAAUUCAGCCUGGCCCAUGAUUUGCACGUGGCCAACCUCGUCGAUUACAUAUCCAUGUUCGAUCACACGACCUACCAUACGGGCGGCCACAUGCCGUGUGGCGUCGACAAUCACAUUUUUUGGCUUUUUGCCAAUUUUUGUUUUUAGAGUUGUGUUUACACACCUGGUUUGUUUGUGACGUAAAAACACUUCUGAGAUCCCCCAGCACCUAUGGUCAACAACCAAACCCCACAAUCAGUCCUAAUUCCUAGUUAACUUGAAACCAAAAUAUUGACAAUGAUUCGUUCAAUCCAUUCGUAUUUACUUUCAAAAUCGAGCAACCCCCAAUUACGGAUCUGAAUGAGAUAGCUCACCACUCCCACAAUUCACUACUGACAAAUCUGAAAGACCCAAUAAGACAACAAUUCACAUCUUCAAAGCUUAAAAGAAUAGAAAAUCUUCCCCUAAUUCACCAAACACAAUCACCUUACCUACUAAACGAGUAACGGCAGAACCAUACCGCUCCAAUGCUAAUCGAAUCGUUCUAGUCCUUAACCUUCAUCAAUGAAACAUUCGACCUAUCACCAAAAAUCCAUAAACCAAAUAACACCACAGUUACAAAACUUACCACCAACGCGCAAAGGCAAAACAGAGAUGACAAAUUGUGACAACAAGGAUUUGAGAAGGAAAUGGACUACUAGAAAAACCAAAGCAGGGAGAGAAGGAAACUUUUAGUAGUAGUCGACAAUAAACAAAAGGAGGAGAAAAGAAAGGCCAAGAUAAUAGCCAGGAAAAAAAUAGAGGGGAAAAAAUAGCCGGCUGCAAGAAAGAGAAAAGAAUCGGCAAAGAAAAAAAUAAAGGGAAUGGAUGAAAAGAGGGAGAAGAUUCGGCCAAGAGAGGAGGGGGACGUUUGCUCACCUUUUUAUCUGAAAAGAAAAAAUAUGGGAAGCACAAAAUUUCACUCAAUCACCACUACCCCCUAAAUCCCUUAAUUAACUCCCCCUAUCCUGGAAUUUCACUCCCCAACCGUCCACCACAAUCCCCUCAACCACAGAAUUCAAACCCCACUCAAACUCUUCAGAAUUUCGUUCAAACUACAACACCCUCACGACACAAGCAAUAAAAAUAAAUCUUAUGUUUGCGCAAGGACUCGAACUCCAAACCUCUUACUCAAUUGCACUCCACUUAACCACCAGACCAGCAGGCCCAUUUUGACAUAUUUUACCAAUAUUUAUUUAUAAGCCUAUUGACUAGAGAUAGAGGUUUAUUCAUUUAAAAACAAAAAUUUGCUCAAGCUAAGGCUUGAACUUAGGACCUCCCAAACACUCUCAAAACACAUAACCACUAAGUUGACAGAUAUUUGUUUCUCAAACAUACGAAAAUAAAAAGGAUUUUUGGAGCGUUACAGAACUACUAGAUGAUGCAUGAUUUAACAUUAUAAGACGUUAGACUUAAAAAUAAGGUAACUAUGAGUAAAUGGUUGAUCGUAUUGCGUGCUGAGAUGUUUGCGUAUAGAAAUUCUUUGCAUUCAUUGAGCUUGUUAAAGUUCACCCACUUAUUUCAACAUAUGCAGAUUAGUGACGACGCAGUGUGGGCGGUGUGGUUUCCGAGGGAGUGAUCUAAGGAAGUCUGGUUAUUCUUUAUAGGUGUUUUAUUAUUUUUAUUUGUUUUGGGAAAAUAGGCAAUAUGAUAGACUUAUUAUAGUUACGUUGACUUCUAAACAAUUGACUUGGUUUAUAAGAACAUCAUGUUAUUACUAUUACUUAGGACUAUAGACAUUGAUGUGGCAUGAUGAUAUUUGUUCAGACUCAUUUUUGGUAUUUUAUACUAUUAAUUAAGCCGUAUGAAAGGUUAUUUAACUUAGUAUUUGAUGCGUGUUAUUUAGGAACUAUUUGAGAUGAAUUAUUUACUUUCCUAUGCUAUAUUUUUAGCUCUAGUAGCAGAGGUAUCGAUAUUGGGCUUUGAAAAUCUAUACCUUUGUGAAUUAAAACGUACAAAAAAUAGAAAAGAGAUUUGGUAUUGAUACCUUUGCUCGAGUAUCGAUACUCGGGGAAGAAAUAUCAAUACUUUGUUCGGUGGUACCGAUAUUUUCUGACAGUAGGAUUUUUAAUCGAGAAACAAUAUGCUCUUUUGGUAUCAUUUUUCCAAGUGGUAUCGAUUCCACUCAAGGAAAAUAUCAAUACCUGGAUAUCAGUAUUGAUACCUACAGACAUUUUUAUGAAAUGUUGCUAACUAGCCCUUAUGCAUGUUUCUAACUGUAUGUAAGACUAAUUAAUGAAUGAUUUGCACGUAACAAUGUUAAUUAGCUAUUUGGACGACUUAAAACUUAUUCAGCUUAACAAAAGAAGAUCGGUUUGCUUGAAUUUAGUUCCUAUUUGAUAUAUAUAUAUAUGAAACGAGAUGGUGGUGUGGCAUCCAGUAUUUAGGCUUGGUGACUAGGCCGGGUAUAGGGUGUUAUAAUUGUAGAUACUUUUGACGGUUGGACGAUCAAGUCAACACUCAAGUCACACUAACCAUUCGUUUUCAAUAGUUUUUGAAUGUUUAUUUUGGACUAUAUGACAUGUAAUUGGAUUGUUAUGUCAUUAUUUUUGUUUUGGUAUGUAAAGUGUUCCUCAAUGCAAGUUGAAAACAUAAGCAUCAUUACAAUGAUCUUGGUGUUCAUUUGAUAAAUGUUUAGUUGAUAACUUAUUAUGAGUUAUGAAUGAUGGAAGAUGUCUUUGAUACAAACUUUUAGCAUAUGUAUGACUAAUAAUGUAAUGACCCAAAAUUCACAAGCACCGAAAAAAUGAGUUAUAGGGCAUCCGUCUUAGUAAACCGAGUUCGUAAAUAAUUAUUAAGAGUAAUCAUGAGUCUAGUUAAGGGUUUAAUUAGGUUCAAAUUAGGUGAAUUUAGCUUAGUUAAUAGAUAUUAGGAAAAAGGACAGAAUUGAAUAAGGUGUGAAAGUCUAAUUAUAGAUUAAAAGAAGAUAAGGGGGACUAAAUAGGCAAUUAUGAAAUAAAUUAAGAAAAGACAAGUGUAAGGUAAAAAUAAAAUACAAGCGUAUUAAUUUAAAUGAGUACAUUUUUAUUAUAUAUAUAGUUAGUAAAAAAGAAAUUUUAUUAUUUAUUAUUAAUUAUUAAUUAGUAAAAGAUUUUAAUAUGAUAAAUAAAUUGAAAUUAUGACAAGUGGAUGGUGAUCAUAAAAUAAAAAUGUAAAAUAUAUAUGUGUAUAUUUGUAAUGUUUAUAUUUGUUAUUAAACAGAUAUUUAUUGUUAUAAUGAUAAUUAUUAUUUUUAUUAUUAUUUAAUUGAUAUUAUAUUAUUAGAUUAAUGAACAAAUUAAUAAAUUGACAAAUGUAUGGUGAUAGUAAAGUACAAGUGUAAUAAAUCAUAUAGAUACAAUUGUAAAAUACAUAUUUAUUUGCUUAAUAUUUAAGAAAUAAUAAUUAUUAAACUAAAGUAAAAUAAAAGCAUAAAAAGAAACAAAAAGAAAUAGAAAGAAACAGAAUAGAAACAAAACAGGGAGAAAAAGAAAGAAAAGAAAAAGGGAAAGAAAGAAAUGAGAAAUAGGGUUUUUAAAGCUUGGGGCUUAAUUUGGUAAGUCAAUUUAGUUCCUUUUCUUAUAAUUUUAAUGUUUUUGGAGUCCUAGAGUUGAAUAUUAUUGAAUUUAAGUUGAAAAUUUGAAAAUUAGUAGAUUUUUGAGUAGGGUUCAUGUUGAAUAAAUGAUUGAAUUAGGGGGUUUAUUUGAUAGAAUUAUUGACUAUAAUUGAUUAAAGGAUUAAAUUGUAAACUAGGCUAUAAGUUUUGUGUUGUAGGGACUAAAUUGAAAGAAAUUCGAAAUUAUGAAAUUAUGAUGAAAAUUUGAUAGUUAAAUUUAAGUUUAUAUGGAAUUUGGAUAGAAAUAAGAUAUAAAUUGUAUUGGGAAAAUAGACGAAUUUAGUUAGGAAUAAAAUUGGAAUUUAAGUGAAAAUUAAAUAGAAAUUUAGUAUAUAUUGUAAAUUAGUAAUAUAUUAAUGAUUGUAAAUUAUUUUAAUUUUCGUAGCUAACAAAGAACCUGAGACAUCGACACUGAAAGGAAAGGAAAAAGUUAUCGAGGAGUAAUCGCGAAAUUCGGGUUUGUAUUACUAUAAUUCAAGUUAUUCAUUAUUAAAUAUUCAUUUUAAAUUUAUCGCGAAAUAUGUGUUAGUAUUGAAUUAAAUUUUGAUUAGCAAAUGAAAAAAAUGAAUUUAAUAUUGAAAGUAAAUUUUGAAAUGAAAGUGAGUUUGAAGGGAGAAUUGGAAACCCUAUUAACUAGUCGGGCUGAGUCGGAUAUAGUUGGCAUGCCAUAGGAUUGGAAGAGUUCAGGGAUACUUCGACCUUGAGUCGAUGAGACACUGGGUGUCACUAUUUUACUACGGAUAGAUUUGAUGAGAUACUAGGUAUCACUUUACUUCGGGUAGGCCGAUGAGACACUGGGUGUCAACUUUGCUUCAAACUAUCUGAUGAGGCACUGGGUGCCAAUCUGGUAUGUUUGGUUGGAUCCGUGUAUCCGCCAAAGUCCGAGUCUAUUAAUAGGGGUAAUUAAUUGAAAAGUUAAAUUGAAUGAAAUGAAUCAGUUGAGCCAUUGAAAAGAAAGGUGAUUGUGAAAUAUAAUUUGAAAAUGUGAAUUGAAUAUGAAUAUGUGAAUAGAAAGCAUGAACUAAAUGUUCAUGAGAUAAAUAAUGGCUCAAUGUAAUAGUAUAUGAUAUUAAUUAAUGAAAGCCAAAUUGAAUUGUAGAUAUUGAGAAAUGAAAGUUAAAUAAAAAUUAGUUUGGUAAUUUUUUUUAAUUUAAAUGAUUUAAUUUACUUGGUUAUUAUAUUAUAAUUUGAAUUAUAGUAAUACCACUGAGUAUGAUAUACUCAGCGCACGAUUGUUUCCGUGCACAGGUUAGUGGAAAUUAAGGUUUCGGCUCAGCAUCUAGAGCGAUCCUGACUCCAGUAUAAAAUUUGGUGAUGUAAUCUUUCUUUUGGUAAAGUGGCAUGUACUUAAGUGUUAUUUUGGUCAUUUGAAAGUGUCUUAUGUUUUUGGUUGAAAAUGAUACUAGAAUUAUAUUUUGAUACUUGUUGUAAUGAAAUGGUAAUAAAAUUAUCAUAACAUAUUUGGUAUAUUUGGUCACAAGUUGAAAUAGAAUGAAUAAAGUUUAUUAAUUUAAACAAUAUAUGCGAAUAUUUAUUUAGUAAAUUACUAAGCCGAUGUUUAAGAUAUGUUUAGGUGUAUUUGAAUAUGAAAUUGUAUGGAUUGUGAUAUUGGUUUUGAAUUGGUUGCGGUUUGAAAUUGCAGGGAAGGUUAAAUAUUUAUAAAUGGGUUAUAUUGAGUGUUUUUUUAAAUGAAAUCAAUUAGUAAUAUAAAAAUAUUUAUAUGAAAUUAUGAUUUUAUUAUAAUAUGUUUGUUAUUUGUUUAAGAAUUAUUUGUAGAUUGUCUGAUAUGUUCGGUAAUGUCUCGUAACCCUGUUUCGGCGACGGUUGAACACCCCAAACCCAGCCUAAACGUUAUGGCCGAAUCUGGCGAUAUCACAUGGAAAGGGAUUUGAAGACAAGAUUGUCGAGUUUAAAAACCGUUACAGUAAGUUAGCUUUUAUUUAAUUCGAAAAAAAAACUAGUUGAUUUGCUUUAAAACUUGUCUCUUAGUGGAAUCUUUUGUAACAAAUUAAUUUAGGGAAAAUCGUUUCUAUUUAUGAAAAACCUUAGUUUUUAGAAAUGAAACCUGUGUUUUGUGGAGUUGCAGUUUUAAAAAAAAUCCAUAAAAAACAGUAUAAAGUCCCAAAUUUAAAUUCAAUCAGUCCAUAGUCUAGAAGAUACAUCAAAAACCCCCAAAUAAGUAAUAAAUUCUAGGCAUUAAUGGAAAAUAGUCUAAAAUUUACAUGUGGCCACCGUCGAGUCCUCCGCUGCACUGACCCGUCAAGUCUGGGGAUUACCUGUAAAUAUUAAAUAGAGAAAGGGUGAGUUUUCACAAACUUAGUGUGUAAUCCCCAUAGAAAACAUGCAUACAGAUAAUCAACAGAAUUCAGUUAGAUACAGUAUGGGGCCCGUACCCAUCAUAGAAUCAGUUUGGGCCUUAGCCCAUUCAGAUACAGUCUCAGAAAUACAUUAGGGCCUUGGCCCAUAUUAGAUACAGAAUGCAGACACAGUAAAUCAGAAUCCUACCCACCAGCCUUUACACACCAUCUCCGCCUAACCCUACACACCAUGUGGGGAUUAAAUCAACCCACCCAUCCCUACACACCAUGCUGUACCGAAAUGCGGCACAUAAUUAGAAGGUUGCAACUGAACUGCCAGAUAACAGGCUUAGUAGCCUUUUAGACACUUCCUCCAAAUAUCAUCAACCCACCCCAAUGCAAUGCAACAUACAAAAUAUGUUAUGCCAUUAUGCAAUUAAUAAUACAUACAUUCAAAUAUCAUAAGUCAUGCUCGGUAUAGAAAUCAAACAAACAGAUCACACAUAUAGGGGUCUAAGUAAAGCUUACCGUCCCUACAGUAGAUCCAUAGUCGACUUGAGAGACCCGUGCAACCUUACAGAACAUUUCAGAAAAAUGGGCUCACUCGCCCAUGUGACCCACUCGGCCCAAAUUGGCCUUGGCCACGUGAUCCAUUUUUAAUGUAACCCGUGCUAAUUAAUUAUUCAUAUAUGUUUUCACUAUUUACUUAUAUGUUCCUUCAAAGCUGUCUACUUGAGUCACUGUUACUAAAUUAUUUAUAUCUUGAGCUACAAAAAUCCGAAUUAAGACCUGCUUGAUGUCUUUGAAACUAUACUCAAAUACCUUUCAACCAUAAAAUUUUCAGAAUUUUUGGUUAAGCCAAUAAUUACAGUAAGAUCUUCAAACUUACCCCUGUUUCGUUGUUUGACAACUUAGUCCAUUCUUUGCUAAAAAUUAAUUAUCUCUUAGUAAAAAAUUUGGAUGAUGUUUUCAUUUGUUUUUGUUGAAAAUAGACUCAUUAAUAAUUUAAAACUAUAAAUUUUAACCUCUAAUUAUUUUUCUCUACUUUUUGAUGAUUUUCCAAAGUCAGAACAGGGGAACCCGAAUUCAUUCUAACCUUAUCUCACAAAGUUUAUUAUACCUCACGAUUUACAAUUCCAUUACUUACACUAUUUCUUCUAUGAGAAACUAGACUCAAUAAUAUUUAAUUCCAUAUUUUAUUCAUCCUCUAAUUCAAUUUCCACAAUUUAUGACGAUUUUUCAAAGUUAGCCUACUGCUACUGUCCAAAUAGCAAGCAAUUUCAGCUUUUCACCGAAUCCCUUUUUUUUUACGUUUCGGGUACACACCUGGUUUUGUUUGAUGCUAAAACAGUCGCCGAGCACUCCAAAGCUUAUAAUCAAGACACUCAAUAUCAAUUUAACGGAUUUACAAGCGAAUUGACAACUAAGAAUGAACUGAAACCCAACUUACCACCAACGAUAACCCUCCCUUUAACUAUUGUUAAGACGAGAACACUUAGUUCACCAGUCCGAGCCUCCCCCUACGCCUAAAUCAUAGAGAAAAGACAUUACAACUUCAGUCGUUAAGAGAUUUAUGACAGAAACGAAGAGAAACAUUUAUUGAAACUAAGCGAGCACUAACCGCGUGCGAAAACGAAGGAAAAUAAAUGGAUUCGGGAAAAAUCAAGAAGAAGAAAAAGGAGAGAAAGAUGGAAAAACUCAGAGAAUUUCGGCAAAAGGAAGGGGAGAAGAAUAGACGGCAGAAUUUUUUUUAGAAAAGAGAGUCAAAAUUCGUUUAUGAAAAAAAAAUCUCAAUAACCCCCAAAAUCCCUUAAUCUUCUCCCCUAAUUCCCACUACACAUCCAUUACUCAGAAUCCCCCUAUUACACAACUCUAUCCCGAAAUCUGAGUAAAAAAAUAAUACCCUUACUUGCAUAGUGAUUCAAACACAAGACCUCCACCAUAAUAACACACCAUUUAACCACCAGACCAGCAAGCCCAUUCUAAUGUAAUUUACCCAAAAAUCAAAUAAAAGCCUACUAAACAUGAGUUAGGCCUAAUUCAUUCAAAAUACCAAAAUUUGCCCAAGCAAAGGCUUGAACUUGGGACCUUCCAAACACUCCCAGAACACAUAACCACUAAAGCUGACAGAUAUUUGUGUCAUAUUUUCACAAUAACGAAAUUAGAAUUUUUGGGGCGUUUCAACAGUUUAGGAUUAGGGGGUGUUACAAAUAAGUUAUAUUGAUUUUUUGUGAAUUGGGGUGCCUAUGAUAGGCAUAUUGGUUAGUAGUUUAAGUUGUGUGAAUUGGCAUGUUUUGUUUGAUGAUUUAUAUUAUUGUAUAAGUGUGUAUACUUGUAGUACCAUUGAGGGUACAUUGGUUAAGCAUUUAAAAUGAUUGAAUUAGCAUGUUUAAUGGCAUUUUGAAUAGGUCAAAUGGCUAGUAAAUGGAUUACUUAAUGUUCAAGAAAUCUUGAAAUGGUAAACUUGAUAUUUAAGGUUCAUUUAGGUGCACAUGGGCUAGCACAUGGUCUGCGACAUGGCCGUGUGUAUCAAGUCAGAGAGUUACACGACCUGACACAUGGCCUACGACACAGCCGUAUGUAUCAAAUCAGUGAGUUACACGAGCUAGGACACGGCCGCGUGUCCCAACUUUGAAAGUCACACGGUUUGGGGCAUUCCACACGGUCGUGUGUCCCCUAAUUUUGAAAAUUUUCAUAUUAUCCUAAAAUUUUUUUCUUUGUUUCAAAUUAGUCCCUGAGAGUUUUAAGAUUAUUUCUUUAGUCCCUUAAGCUCGAUUUAAGCCUCGUAAAUAUAAUUUAUUAUUGUAAUUAAAUUACUUUGUGGUAUUUGAAAAAUUAUAUUGUAAUGAUCAUGAUUUUUACUUGUUAUUUAUGUUAUCUUGCUGUAACAUUCUCGUACUCCCUAUUUCGGUGACAGAUAUGGGUUAGAGGUAUUAUAGUCAUUGCAUAUUUUAUGUUUAAACAAGAUUGCCAAUGAUGGAGUGGAUUGUGUAACAACCCAAUUUUUGGUGGUGUCAAAAAAUAUGAUUUUGGGACCUUGUUUCCGUAAAUUGAGUCCAUAAAUAUUAAAUAAGGAUAUUUGCGGAGUUAGCGUAUAGAUGAAUUGAAAUUUGGUUAAGCAAUUUAGCCGAAAUUGUGAGUAACUACGGCUUAGGGACUAAAUCAUAAAAUUUUAAUCGAUAUAGAUUUUUAAUUAGAAUAAAGCUUGGAAACUUAAAUAUCAAUUAUUCAAAGGAACAAAAUAGAAAUGGACCAAAUUGAUAUAGAUGUUAGUGGGAUAUGGUGUUAAUUAUCAUUAGACUGAGUUGAUUAAAGUUUAAGCCUAAUUAAUUAUAGUUAAGUUAAUUAACUAAGUUUAACUAAAAUAGACCUAAGUAUAUAAACAAAUUAAGUAGGAAAAAGAUGAAAAGAGUUUUCAUCUUCAUCCCAAAGACCACUAAAACCAUUUUAGAAGAAAAGAGAAAGCUUUCAAGCUUUAUUCAAUAUUCGACCCUUAAUUGUAAGUAAGUCUCUAGCCAUCUUUCAUUGAUUUUUUUUAGAUUUUAGGUCAUGGGAGCUUGUUUUAGCUAGCUCAUGUACCAAGUCGUGAGACUUUUAAAGUUUUGAAAUUUACCAUUAUUGAGAAUUAGAUGAAAUUGGUGCAAAAAAGUUAGAAAUUAAGCUUAGUAUAUGAAAAAGACUAAAUUGUAAAGCUUAAUUGUUAGUUUUGUACACUAAAUUGAUUAAAAUGCAAAACAAUCAUGAAAUGUUGGUAGGGACAGAAAAUAAAAGGUCCCUAAUGAGUUAUGGUGAAAUCAAAUUUUAAUCUGAAACCCUAAAUUAAAAGUUAUGAUUGACUCAAUUUUAAGGACUAAAUUGAAUAAAUUGUAAAAUAUGUGUAAAUUUAUAAUUGGUUAUGAAUUUGCUGGAAAUUAAUUGUAUAAUAUAUUUUGUGGUUAUUCGUAGUUAAUUACUACACCGGAUCGUCGAAAGAGAAAGAAAAAAGAAAAUUGUCGAUGAGUGAAGCGCAAAACCUCAGUUUUUACUUUUAUGAUUCGAGAUAGAUUUAAUUUAUUGUAUAUAUAUGUUAAUCGCUUGAUUGAUCAUUGAGGUAAGUAUAUGAUCAUAGUAUGAAUUGUUUUGAUUGAAUUUGAUGUGGGAUAACGAAAUUUAGGACUAAAAUGAAUAAAAUAAAAAAUAGCAUGAAAUACUUGAAAUAUGUUAUAUGAAAUGGUAAAUGGAUAAAAAUAUGUUGUAUGGUCAGUAGUACAUGUGAUUUGAUGAUGAAUUGGAUUAUAGUUGUGAUUGUGAUCGAGUAAUGAUAUAUGUACUAAAUUGCAAAGCGAAAUGUGAUAAAUGAUUGUUAUGCAAUAGAACAGUGUACAUGGUAUGAAAAUGCAUAUGUGACGGAAUACAGAGUAUGAAUAUGUGAGUAAGAUGAUUACAAGUAUGGGAAUGCUUAUAUGUAUAAUUGAUAUUCGUGUGAAUUUAGUAAAACGUUAGGAUACGAUUUGUAUGCUAAUAAGGUCAUAUGCACGCUUGUACAGGAUAUGUAAUUAUACGGAGACCAUUACAGAUUAUAUCGGGAUCCAAAAUUCGUUGUGGAUCACUAAGUAUUUGAUCUGUCACAAUUCGUUGUGGCAAAUUAAGGUCUUUCUAACACUUAACGAGCUUGCUUUAUAGCAUUUUUAUAUAUUUUUAUUUCAUUUUCAGUUUUUAUUGUGAUGUGUUUAAUUUAUGCAAAAUAAGCGUUUUUAUAAAAUGUUGAGUUAUGUUAUGACCUAAUAGGCCACUAUGGGCCUGAGGAUGAUCUAACAACUUUAUCCAGUGUGUAAGACAUUAUUUUUUAGCUUAGAAGGCAAGGGACGGUUGUAGCAUCAUGACACUAGGAUGUGGUGUCGCAACACUGAACUUUGAAGCCAAAAUACCUAGAAAAUAAAGGCAGUGUUGUGACACCGAUCUUGUGGUGUUGUAACAUCGAGUGACGAAUAGGAAAAAUUAAUUAAGGGUAUUUUAGUCCUCACAAUGUAUCUUAAUAAGAAUUUUGGGUUGUUUAGCAACCCUAAUUAGGUAUGAGCAUAAAGCCUAUAAAUAGGCAUGUUAAGUCUCAUUUGAGGAGGCCUGGCCAAGUGAAUCAUUUUAAUAUUUUUAGGUUUUUAGUUUAGUUUUAUUUUCUUUCCAGUUUAGUCAUAUUUAUACUUUUGUUACUACUUUAACUUGGAUUCGAUUUUUAUCCAAGGUCUUGAUAUGUUAGUUUUUCAUUAUUUUGUUGUUGAUUUCAAUUACAAUCGAGAUGAUCUUCGCAACUGUUAAAUGAAAUUUUGCUUCCAAGCUUCAAUCAAUAUAAAAAAAAAUGGAUUUCUUUCUCUACUCCUUACUUUUAUUUAAUUUGAUAUUUUGCAUGUUAAAUAUGAGUUUAAGAAUUUUUGUAUUUCAAUCCAUGAGUAACUAAUUUCCUUAAGGAAUUUAACGAACGAUGUUUGAAUAAUUAACAGAUGAACGAGGGUUGAAAUCUAGGUUAGUUGGUUUAAAUUAUAUGUAAUUAAACUCUAGAGAGUGACACCCUUGGUAAGUAAUUUAAGAUAAACGAGAUCGAGAGAUAAGUUUACCUAGUACCUGAUAAUUUAUCCUGGUAAAGAAAGUGAGGCCAAGAGGUAAAUGUGUAUUGGUCGAUUAGCUAAUUAGUUAGAGGCCGAAAGAUAAUAACUAGUUAAUUAAUAGUUAACUAGAUAAAACCUGAGUUCUAAUGUUAAUUAGGAUCACUAAAGUGAGUUAAGCUCUUGCUUGUUUUAUUAGAUUUUUUUCGAUUGGUAAUUGGUUGAUUUUUAGUUUAAUUAAUUUUUAGGUUAAUUAGAUUAAUUUAUGCUUAUUUGAUUUUUCAUAAUAUAAUUUUAAAUUGGUACUAUUUAGACUUAUUAGUGUAGAGAAUUAAUUUCGGUUUAAUUCAACCUCUCUUAGGUACGAUCCUCGGAAUACUUCCUAGAGUGUUUCGUUGUAACAUUCUUCUAUAUUACAAUUUGACCAGUCUAAACGUUUGCACAUGUCUGGUAGCGAUCAGUAUUAUGUGUCUCUACAGAGACCUUGGUGUGGUGGGAUGUAUAUGCAUAUGAGAAUGCGUUUGAUUCCUGUGAGUUUUGCACUUUAGUGCUUUGGUGUGGUGUAGUUUAAGCUUUUAUGAGCUAUCUGGUGUGGUGUAGUUUACCCGUGUAUCCGAGUCCAUUUUACUAGGGUUCUAUCAGCGUAACAUUAUAAUUGCUAUUGGAAAAUUUUACAAGGUAAUGAAAUAGAUUAAUAAUAGAAUUUACUGUCGAAACGAAUAUGAAUGAGUCAAUAGACUCUAGAAAGAGAUUUAGACGAUAUGUUAAACGAAUUUUCUCACGCCUAGUUUCCUCUUAUGUUUCGACAUUAAAGGAAAGUUGGGAGUUACUUGAAUAAAAAUAUAAGAUGGCAGGCUCUAUUAGGAAAUUCAAAAAAUUUAGUGGCUAAAUUAUGAAUAGUUGAACUUCAAUUCUAGUUUUAUUAGAUUAGAAUCGGCUGGCUCCUUAGUGGGAGACAGAAUAAAUAGCGAUGGAUGACUACAAUGUUCUAAGGAGACCAUACAAAUUAGGAUAUAUAUGGGUGGAGAGAAGAGAAUUCUCCUGAAUUAAUUGGUAAUCUCCUUUUCAUCUAUAACGUAUUAUUCGGUUGCUCCGAAGAAGAAGAAGAAAAAGAAGUUUAAGGAAGCUCUGCAUGAUGUGAUAAAUGUGGGAUUCAAGUCUAGGAAGCCAAAAUUUUGAUAAGUUGGUAUCAAUUGGCUCACUACAACGACACCAUGACGAUGGUCUAACGACUCUAUGGAGUGACACCUCUACGGCAAUAUUCUAUUGGCUCGCUAGAGCGACAUUAUGACGACGUUCUAUCGAUUCUAUGGAGCGAUACCAUGACAGUUUUUUAUAGGUCCUUCGGGGCUAGACCUCGAAAGAGUUUUAAUAUGUAAGACCAUAACUAGGCUAUGACAACAUAUGGAGUCCACCAAGACAAUAAACAUGGGUUUAUAUUGAGUAAGACCAUAGCUAGGCUAUAGCAACAUAUGAAGUCUGCCAGGAUAGUAAACAUGAGUUUAUAUUAUGUAAGACCAUAGCUAGGCUAUGGUAACAAAUGAAGUCCGCCAAAGUGGAAAAACUAGGAAGCUAACAAUGCACGAAAAAAGAAAAUUUACUAUAUGGCACAUGCGACGAGUAGUACAGUUAGAUGAUUACGAUGCGUCUGAAAACGCGAAUAAACAGGAUAGUCCAAUAAUCCACCAACUAUGAAGAAAAGAAAAGGUGGUAAAAGUGUCUGAUACCACACUUCAUUUAUAUAUAUAUUUUUUCAUAUUUUGGCAUAUGCAUGCCAGUGGUCAAGUUGUUGGCAUCGUUGUUAGGGAUUGUAAAGAUGUAAAUGUAUUUGUUGAGUUAGUUGUUUGAAAAAUAAUAUUAAUAGAAAGACAAGUGAAUUAAAUUGUGUUUUUAUUUUGUUGUAUCAUUAUUUUAUUUUUCUGCAUUUGCUUUUAUUUACCUUGUUAAAGAUUUGACUUAAUCAUGUAUAAUAAUGAAUAUAGGUGGCCAACUGAGUAAUACAGUUAUGACAAGCAGCUGAGUUCAAAAAAUGAAGCUUCGAUGGGCAAUUGGAGUUGUAAAGGUUAUUAUGGGGGCAAGAAUAUUCGCACGAAUAUUCUUAUGGUCAAUAUGGUUUUGCGAACGACACAAAUGCCUACAACCAAGGUUGGUCGGGUAGCUAUUUGGCAUAUGAUUCAUAUCCCUCGUAUUGUUAUUCUGAUAUGGAUGUGCCAAGUGAAGAAUACUUCAAGAAUCCAUCCUUUGUUAUGUGGGUUGGUACAUUGGAGGAUGAUAUUUCUGCGUGCCAAGCUACGAUGUCAUCCAUGUCCAAUACGUUGGAUCAACUAUUGAAUGUUGUUUGAAGUCGAUCCACAAUGAAUGCUCUAGUGGAAGUGAGUGUCGAGCAUGAUGUUCUCGAGCUUGAAGAUAAGAUUCACCUUACCGUUGUUAAGCAUUAUGAGUUGAGUAGGGAUGUUCAACAAAAGUGCAGAGUGGAAGAUCAAGAUGAGAUUGUAAUUAUUGAAGAUAAUGCUUCCGCUUCAAUUGACAUAGAAGUAGAAAUAGGUUUAAAAGUGAAUGUUUAUGAUGAGCCUAAACCAAUACUAGUUGAAGGUGUUGAAGAGCCAACAUAACUUUCGGUUAUAGUUGCGGAGAAGAAAAUUGAUGAAAUCAAUGAGUAUAUUCAUUUCUAAUCCGAUGAUGGAGGUAAAGCUCGAGUACCUACAACCUUAAGCGACACCGAGGUAGGUGCGCGCGAGAUUAUAAUACCCCAGAAUGAAUUAUGGGGUUGGCUAGGAUUUAGUGCAGAAUGGCUUGUGAUGUAGAUGUCGUAUCAAUCAAAGAUAAGGAAGUAGCAAUGUGUCUGAUCGACAAGACCGAUUCACCUCUCUUGAAUGCAAAAAAAAAUGUCUAAUCAAAUUAUUGAAAACCAAUGAGAAAUUUUUCUACGGUGGUGAUAUUGAUCACCCCGGCUAUAAAGAAUUUUAAUAAUCCAUUUUGUUGUUCUUUUAAUUUUAGUUGUUUUUUUAUAUGUGUUUUAUUAUUUUUUACUAAGUAAAAUUUGUUCAUUUUUUUAUGUUAGGUGCCAAUAAGGUGAAGUGAACAAAAGAAAGAAUAAAAAGUUUGAGCAAAUAGGGGUGACAUCGCAAUGAGGAAAAGUCUUACGUCGAGGUGUGGAGACAUAAGGUCGCAACAUAGGAGUGUAGUGCCAUGAUGUGGGCAACAUUAACAAGCUUUAGGUGUUUUGAAACAGUAAGUUUUAUCAUGACAAGAAAAGGAUUCACAUUGCGAUGAGAAGCCUUGAUGUCGCAACGACAAGAGUUGAAGUUGUGACGAGAUGAGUUGUACGAACCUUGCAAACUAGGUUUUGCACCCCAAGUUGCGAUGAGAUGACAUUUUUGAAACCCUGCUACCCUAAUGCCCAAUUAAAAAAAUGGCUCAUUUAUGUUUUAUUAUCUUUCUUUGUUGUUUUUUCUCUUCAAAAAAUUCACAAAACCUUUUAUUUUCUUCUAUUUUUCCAGUAUAAUCUUCAUAUAUUUUCUUCCUAGUCUUUUAAUUUUCUUUCAUUGUACAGCAAAAAUCUUUGUUUUCUUACGAUUUCUUGUCGAAUGGAGGAUUACUUAAGCAUUCACAACCAUGGGUUUAUGGUAUUUUUCUCCAAGGUGUUGUCUUUCCAUCCCAAAACUUGAUUAUUUUCUUAGUUGUUAACAUUAAUAUUAAUUUAUUAUUAUUUUUUAUUAGAUUAGUAUGGAUAUUUGUUUUAGAACAAUGUAUUAUAUCCUUGCUUGCAUCUAGUUAUUGCGUUUUCUUGAAUAUUUGGGUUGGUAAUAAUAGGAAUAGGUUUGAAGAAUUGUGCUAUUUAGAACUUAUCAUGUGGAAAUUGGUUGUUGAAUAUUAUUGGGUAUUUGGUAAAGAUGACAUCUUGGAAAUGAAUUACAGCUAGAAAACCAGUGGAGUGAGAUGCUCUAACCAAUGAUAAGAAACGUUUUGUUUCUCACAAGGCUUUCAAAUGUUUCGGCAAAUCGGGUAAGCCACUUAUCCUGGAGCAUGGGUUCAAUUUUUCCAUGCAAUUAUUUUAUAAUCCGAUCAUUAAGUUGGUCUAGAAACUUAAGUGAACAACAUUUUUCCGACAACCAACUUGACCCAUAUUAUUGCAGCUGUCCAGAAAUUUUACGUGAAUUUUUCGAAAGCACAAGAUCAAAAGGUCAGUGUGAGUCACGCUCUCGUGGGUGCUUCCCCUGCUACAAUUGAUGCUAACCAUGAAACACCUCAUGACAUACGCGAUAUUUAUGUUGAGUUGAAUGAGGACGAGGUUGAUUAUGAUGGCAUCAUGAAUUUUUUAAUUGAGAAUAGAGAUUAUUGGGUUAGAAAGUCAAAUACCAAAACACCCAUUAGAUUUCAACAAUCGAUAAUGUUUCCAAUUUCUAAAAUAUGGAUGUAUUUCACAUAUGAAAAAUUAAUACCUCCUCAGCACACCAUGGAAGUUACCUGUGAUUGCGUGUUACUCUUGUAUGCUAUUUUGAACUAAAAAAAAUAUCAAUAUAAGAGAUCAAAUUUCCUACACCAUGAGGCAGUGUGCAAAUGGAAAAACAAGAGGCAUUUCGUACCCACAUUUGAUUAUGGAAAUGUGUCAAUGAACAAGUGUGGAGAUGGAUCCAAAUGAGUCGCAUUGUAUCCCAAAAGGCAUCCUCAAUGAUGCAAUAUAUGAAAAAUUUUACAGAAUACAUUCAGAUCGAGUUGAGGAGCAUAAAGAGAGUAUGGAUGCCCGCAAAGAGUACACUUGGGAGCAUUUACUUCAAUAACCUAUGGAGGAGCUUAGACUUGUGCCCCUAAUAUCGUAGCGGAAGCAAUUUACCCCAAUAGUCCUGAUGACUAGGGACCUUCUCAUGCAAGCAAAAUUGAUUAUUUGAUGCAGUGCAUGGUAAUUCUUGGGCCAACAGUAAAUUAUUACUUCAGGAAACAUGGAUUAGAAGUCCCUUCAUGGCCAUAAAAAAUGUGGCAUACGCCAACCAAUGUUGAUUUCAUUGUUCCGCCAUCACCACCACAGCAACCCACUUCAGCACUGAGUAGUGGUGCGCAUUUGAGACCACGAAAGAACAGGAUUAGCAUUCAUGACCCAUUCGAUGUUCCAUGAGUUUCGAAGAAAACAAAACCCUCCUAAAGCAAAGGAAAAGAAAACACCAUCGUGUUGGAAGAGGAGGACGAGGAUAGCAUAGAAUAAUUGAUGAAGACUAUUUUGAUGAAAUUUGAUUAUUUUUCUUCAUUUUUGAACUUGAAAAUUUUUAGUUUUCUUUUAUUGCUUUUAUUUUAUAUUUCAAUUGUUUAUGAAUUAUGUUAUUUUGUUUUAGUGUUUUAUUUUUACGAACUCUUCAAUCCAUUUAGAGCGCACUUUUGAACUUGAUACAGUUUCGAGAGCAAGGAUUUGAAUUUUCAAAGGAGUUUUCUUGUUCCCUUUUCAUUUGUAUUUUUAAAAUAUUAGGGACAAUGUGUAUUCUAAGUUUGAGGGGAAGGUGUAGAUUUUUUGUCUAUUUUGUUUCGUUUGUCAAUUUUCUUUAGUUUGUUUGUUUUGGUUUAAUUUGGUUUAGUUUCCAAAAAGAAUUUUUUGUUUGUGUGUUGAUUAUAUGAUUAUGUGGUCAAUUUGUGUUAAUAGAUGUCAACCAUAGGAUUGAGGCAUGAUUGGAUAAAUAUGAUAUGUAUGUAUGGAUGAAUGGUUAGAUCAUAUGGAUUGUUUUAGUUCUUUUAGUUACUUAUUUAUUGUGAAUAGAUACUUUUAUAGUUAUGCAUGUUUGUACCAUAUAAAGAAUGUAAAAUAUUAUUUUUUUAUUAACUUGUUGUGUUUAGGAUUAUUGAAUUAGCUAAUUGUGCCGAAAUUGAUGUUUGAGUUAUUUGAAUGUAUUGAAGGAUAACCUAAGGCAUUUUUUGGAUCGAUAAAGCUUAAAAUGAUACCUUAUAUAUGAAUGUGAAUCCUUAAUACCCUUAAUUUGAGCUUUAAACUAUUUCUUUAGAAACCCUUAUUGUUUUAACAUCCUAACCGUAUAUUGCGUAUUUGAAUAUCUAUAUUUUUUUUGUCUCAUCUUUUGUUUAGCAAUGGGAUUAAUGUCAAACUAUAGAUGCCAAGAGACUAGUUAGAAUUUUAUGGAGAAUGUGUGUGCAAUAAAAUGAUAAUAUGGAGGAAGUGAUGAGAAUAGAACUCUAGCAAAACCGAGUGUUUAAUUGAAAACAUUUGAGUGAACAAAAGCAUUUUCAAGGUUAAAAGCAUUGAGAGAGACAUAAAAGCAUGGUGAGGGUUAAAAGCAAAGAGAGAGAGAAAUGGAAAUGAAAUUUGAGCGAAAAAGUUAAAAAUUUUGAACUAUAUCGAAAAUAACUUUUUUUUCUACUAUUUUGGUACUCUUGGUGCUUGAAUCUAUGCUUAUCAAUUUCAAACUAUAUUUUUAGGAGACAAAAGAUUGUUAGAGGGAUGGUGAAAGGCGAGUGCUAAAUGUCUAAUUUGGGAAUGAAGUUAGGGAUUAACAUCAUAAGUUUAAUUGAUUUGAAUUGCUUGUAGCCAUUUUGUGCCUUACUUUUUAUGUUACUUAUCAUAUCAUUCUAAGUCACUGAAUGUUACAAGUUGAAAAGAUAUAUGCAACCUCAAUAUGUUUGAAUUUCUUAAAUUGAAAUAAGAUGCAUGAGAAAUCUAUUGAAAGAUGAUUUUGACACAUUGAGUAUAAUCAUACAUUAUGAUUUGCAUUUUGAUAGAAUUCGCUAGCAUGUCAUAUUCCAAUUAAACCAUCUAGUGCACAAUUGUUAGUAACUAACAAAACUUCAUUUUGUUUCAUCAUGUGCAACUUUGAAUCUAUGUCUAAAUCAUGUUUAUCUAUAAAUGUUGAUGUUAGAUUGGGGUACAUCUUGUUAGUACUUGUUUAUAUUCAUAAUUGUUUAAUUGAAACACAAUGUUUGGUAUGUGAACAUUUGUGUUUAGAUUUUGUUUUGCUUAAGGACAAGUAAAAGUGUAAGUGUGGGGUAUUUGAUACACCAUAAUUUGAUAUGCACAUUUGUUGUCCUUUCACACACAUUUUAUCAUAUUUUAAGCGAAAUCGAGUCAUUUUAGCAUCAAUUCGUGUUUCUAUGUGUUUAAUUAGUGGAAGUGUGUUUUUUAAUUGAUUUAAGUGCUUUUCAUUUUAUUUUGUGUUUUUAAUAUUUUUUGACAUUUAAAUAAAUUUAUGUGGUUAUAUAGGACAAGUUGGGAGUUGAAAAUGUACAUUAAGGGCGCGACUGCAGCUGAGGUCACAACGAGGAGCUAUGGAAGUUGCGACAUUGAAGCUAGACAUGAAAACAAUGAGAGACCACAAUAAGUAGUCUCAUUGCGACGUUGAAUCAUGUAACGUCGCGACGUUGUGACCUCACGUCGCGACAAGAUUCAUUCGUAGUCCUGACGUUGCGAUGAUUUUACAACUAAAUUGGACGUUGACUUAAGCAAUUAGGGGAAUUUAGCAGUCAUUUUUUGUUUUAAGCCUCUAUGAAUUAAAAUUAUAUUAGGGGUACUUUUGACUUUUAGUUAUUUCUUAUAUAAACCAAAUUUUAGUUUUAUUUUACAAUAAUGGAUGAUAUAUAGAUAAUUUUUAGGUUAGAAUAGUAUAAAGACUUUUUUCAGGUUUUCUUAGUAGAUUAGGUUUUAUUUUAUUUUCUUUUGUUUUUAAUUUAGACUUAGAUUUAUUUGCAGUUUGGAUCAUUUCUAUUUCUUGUUGAAACUUUGUAAUCGAAGAUUACUCGAACUUUUGCGCUUAAUCUGAUAUAUAAAUGAGCAUUUCUCCUCAUCCUUAUUUUUAUAUUUCGUUUAUCAAAUGUUCAAUAAAAUGUUUGUAUAAAAAAUUUAAUGAAUCACGUGCUAAUAUUAUUUUUAUUGGUUGAUUAAUUACUCCAUUGUUUGAUGAAGUGUUUUCCUAUAUUUGAUUGGUUGUUUUAUUUGAUUAUGUCAAAUUACUCAACAUAAUAGAAUUGACGACUCUAGUAGAAUAUUUAGACAAAUGAGAUCGAGAGGAGAAUUUGGCGUGUAAUAGUUUGGUAUAAACGUGAUGAGCGGUGAGGUCAAGAGGAGAACCGUAUGCCUAAGUGAGACCGAGAGGAGAGCUUAGGCGGUAACUUUUAAUUAGGAGGAGAUCGAGAGGAUAAUCCUAGUUAAGAAUAGUAAACAAUUCGAUCGAAAUAUUUAUAUUGGCUUAGUUAGCAGUUAGUAAAUCAAUUGACCUCGUUUUAUUAUUUUGCAUUGUUUAACAAGAAAAAGAACGUUAUUUUAAUGUUUUUAAUUGUUAAUUUAGAAUUAGUUUUAUUAUAAUUUUAUAUUCGGUUGCACUAAUAAUUCUCAAAUUGACUAGACUAAUAAUUGUUUUGUAAAAGUUAACUUGAUAAUACAUUUAUCAAUUUGACAAUUCUUUAGGUAUGAUCUUUGGAAUACUUGUGUAUUUCGUUGUAAUUAAAAAUUAUAUUAUAUUUUGACUUAUCACACUUACGAUAAAAAUCACACUUCAUUCUUUUUUUAUAUAUAUUUGCAUAUUUCGGCGUAGUGACAUCGGCAAUCAUUACUUCUAUAAAUUUUGAUUCAUUUGUAAAAGGGAUUUCGUUUUAAUCAAAGUUUUUAAAAUUCUAAAUAUUACUUGUUUGAGUAAAUAUAAUGGAGAAUUUCAAAAUUUGUGAGUAAUUUCAGGAGAGGAUUUUAAAAUUCAAUUUCCUUUUUCAAAUUCCAUCUAAAUGUGGUUUUUCAAAAUUCCCUAUAAUUUUAUUUGAUUUAAUACAAAUAGUCCACCAUAAGAUAAAAAGCUUAAAAUUUAAAAAUUAUUUUUAUUUAAUUUAUAAUAAAUAAUUUUUAAAUUUUAUUUUAUUAAAAAUAUUUGUAAAUUUUUACAAAUAUAAUGAUAUUCAUAAUGAAUUUUUUAUAUUAUUUAUUUUUAAUAUAAUUAUUCUUAUUUUCUAAUUUGUAAAUUUCUAAUAAUUUAAUUUUUCCUUAAUCAAUUGUUUAUCAAAACAAAACAAUUACAAACUCUAGUAUUUUGAAUGAAUGAUUUUGAAAUAUUAGCAGAAAAUUUAAAAAUUUUCGACACUUUUAAUGUCUUCAAAAUAUUAAAUAAAAUUAUUAGUUAUUACGUAUAACAUAAUAUUAUUGUGGAUUGCCAAAAAGAAACUUUUUCAAUCGUAAAAAUAUCAAAAUAAUUUUUUAUUUUAUAUUAGUUUGUAACUUACUUUUUGUAUUCAUUAUUAAUAUUUUUAAAAUAAUAUGUUUUAAAUAAAAUUGUCUUAAAACUAUUUUAAAAUUUUCUUAACAAAGUAUUAAAUUUAAUUUACUUACUUACUAGAUAAUAUAUAAUUAAUUUAUUGUAAAUAUACACACUAAUUUAGGAUGUGUUUGAUGAACUAAAAAAAUUUUAGAACUGAAUUUUAUAAGCACUAAAUUUUUAUUAUAAAAUUGUUUGAUACACUUGUAAAAAUUAAACAUUUAAUGUAAUCAAUUUAUUUGACAAUUAUAAUUAAUAUUAUUCAUCGUUAUACAAUUUGCAUUAAUAUUUAUAAUUAUAAUUAAUAAACAAUGUUGAUUCUCACAAUUUAGCAAGUUCCAUUUUUUUUAAUUAUAUUUUAUCUAGAUGGAUUUACAAUUCCUCUUUAAACACACUAAUUAAAAAAAACAAUAUAAUUAAUAAUAUAAAAUUUGUUUUGAAUUUCGCCUUAGGCGUGUAGAAAUUAAUAUCAUUAAUCUCGAGUGUCUUAUAUAUUUUAAAAUAAAUAAAUAAAAUAUUUUUUUCAUUUAAGUUUUGUUAAAUGGAGUAGGCACCAUCCUUAGUUAAUCCAAAUAAAAUAAUUGAUAACAUAUUUUUUCUUAUAAUUAUUCUAAUUGGAGUAGGUAUGAUCCUAAGUUAACACCAAUUAACUUACUUUUCUAUGGUACAAAGUUUAAAUAAAAUAAUUGAUAAAAUAUUCUUCUCCUUGCAAUUUUUUUUUUUUUAAGAAUUAGGUUUGAUCCUAAAUUAACACAUGAGUUAACACAUACAAUGUUCAAAUAAAAUUAAAAUAAUUGAUCAAAUACUUUUUUCAUGAUAAGUUUUUUUUUUUUUAAAUGGAUUAGGUAUGGUCCUAAAUUAGCACGAGUUAACAUACCUUUUUGGUAUAAAGUUUAAAUAAAACAAUUGAUCAAAUACUUUUUUUCUCAAUAAGUGUUUUUUUUUUUUAAAUGGAUUAGGUAUGAUCCUAAAUUAACACUUAGUUAAAAUAUUCUGCUUUUUGGUAUAAAGUUGAAGAAAAUGGGGGACAAGAAAUUGCAGUAAUAGGGUUUGAAUAGUGACUAUUAAGAGUGUCAACAAAAGACCUUAACCACUCUUACCUUAUGCUAAUAUACUUUUUAUAUACAUCAGAAACACUUAUUCUGGGUCCACAAAUAUGAAGACAAUUCAUAUUUAAAAGGCAAACUAUAUAGUAGUGGCUUUACAAGGUAAAUUAUUGAUGCUAAAUUUACAUAAAACAAUUUCAUAUACAGAAGAGCUUUUAAUUCAACAUAUCUUGUUUUGGAGAAAAUGUCCCAAAAUCAAGGAUGAAGCCAUUCAUUCUCUUAUUACAUGAUUUUCAGCUUGCAUUGAAUCAAUGUACUCGCAAUAUAUUUUGUGGCUAAUGCUCCUAUCUCAUCCUUGUGUUCUCCAAAUUUUGAAAGAAUUUUGUAUUCAAGGGUUUUCUUUUUCUUGUGGUACUGUGGUUCAGAGGGGCAAGAAAAGCAAAAAUAAAUCUCAAAAUGACAACAUAAAAAUACAGAUUCACCUCACUGAUUCUUGAAUUCGUCGAUAUUGGCCUCUUCUGCAGCACCGCAUUCCAGUGCUGCUGGAUUAGGAGAAUCUGAAGUCAGGUAAGAAGGUUGUUCGUUCUUCCGAGUUUGCAAUCCCGAGAAGCGAGCAAGAUCAACCCAUUGCUGUUGCAUUCAAGUCAGCAACAAAAUUACAUUAAUGUUCUAGACCUGCAUGACUGUUGCUAGAGGACAAGGCUGCUAUUAUAAAUGCCAUCUCAAUGUGCAUUAAUCAACUUUACCAAGCAAUAGUCCAUGUGGAGACUAAGAAAAAUAAAACUCAUAUCAAAUGGAAGCCAUGCAGUUCAUAUUCAAAUUAAAUAACAUAGUUUCACCAGGCCACAUAAUUUAAUGUAGUAAGUAACAUAUGAUUACAUAGUUUGCAAUAAUAUAGUUCUCAGAAUUACGAUAAUGUUGCUAUAACAUGACAUGAUCUAAAGGAUCUAACAUAAUAAUCCUAAAGAAAUUAAAGUACCAAAUGAAGAUAAUUCUGACCUGAGUUCCCCAGUAAGAAUUGAUAGUCCGAACAAAAAAGGAAAGCAUAUUCACAAGAAAGAUUUGAGAAGAAAAUUCAUCAGAAAUUCGAUGCUCCACGAUUCCAGCAAUAAUCUGAAAAUUUUAGUAUAUUUUAAUUUUACAUCAAGCAGAUGGUAGGCAAAACUUAAAGUACAAAUAUGCAUCAGUUGGAAUGAGAGAGGUCAUUCUGAAUCUAGGUCUAAACCAGGGGUGUCAGAGUUGGCCAACAGAAAAUGCAUCAUAUUGAUCACGUGAUUAGAUAAAUCAUCUCAGUAGUUCCCAACAUAAAGAAAAGCAAAUAUUCUUUUGCAACGAAUACAACCAAUAUCGUCAAUAAAUUGUUACUAACAAAUGCCAAAGUCUAUGUUGCUCAAACUCAGGUGUGAAUGUUGGACAAGGUCAUGUUUCUAAGACAAGUAAAUUAAAUUUUGCCAAGUGUUUUCUUAUAUUUGGAGAGCUAUGCUCCUGCUUCCAUGCCUGCUUAAUUGUUAGAUGUGCCUGACACAAUAAAUGAACAAGAGGAAAAACAAGAGUCUAAAAAUAGGGAGCACGGACAGACAUUGGUACGACACGACAGAUACUGCAGCAUGGUAGUUUCUAGAAAAUUAGGACAUGGGCAAAGCAAGACAUGGGAAAAAUAACUUUAAUACAAUGAAAUGCAAAAAAUGUAAAAUUGAUACUUUUCAAUUACAUAUUUACAUGAAAUAGCUUUUAAUUUUUAAAAAUUAUUUUUGAAAAAAAAAUCUAUUAGAACCAAAUUGCUCAUUGUUUAUUCCGCAUUUGAGAGAAAAAAGAAAAAAAAAAAAAAAAAAACCAUCAUGCAUCCAUCCACAUCCAGGCAUGUCCAGCUGUGUUUGGCUAUGUUUAACUGUGUCUAUUUUUCUACUUUUUUGAGGUGUCAUGUGUGUUCAACAUGUACAUGACAAAGCAUGACAUGUCAGACAUGUGUGUAUAUUUUGUGUGUCGGAGUCCAGUCCAUGUCAGAUGUGUGCAUGACAAAGCAAGUCCAUUUAUAAGCCCAACAUAUGCCAGAAAGCUUUUUCAUGAUAAAGCAAGUUCUUGGCAUGGCUGAACUUAUGUGACAAGCAUUCUUACCUGAUAACGAAGAUUUGCAGAUGUCCCUAGAAAGCCUCCAUAAACAAGAGCUGUUUUAAGUAUAGGUGAUCUUUUAACUUGUUGGUUAGAAACCAAUUCUGGAUUGAAGAUUUUUCGAACUGCAUACAAAAUAUUUGAGGAAGCCACAGCUCCAAUGCUGGAAAUAAAUCCAACACUAGCCAGUUUCAGACCACCAACAAGCACAGAUGCUAAUCUGUGACUGAUGUUCCAAUCCUUCCCAGCAAGAUUCUUCUGAAAUGCAUUAUCAGGUAUUGAACCAAGGAGACCUUUUAUAGCAUCCAUGUUGUCAGCUCCAUCAGCAUUUGAGAGGAAUGAGAUAGUUGGGGCAGGAAGCCAUACGGUAAAGAAAUCAACAACUAUUCCUCGGGCCGUGUCAGUAAUAACAUAGUCAAGCUCUUCAAAGAAAUUUUCUUUACGCCUCUCAUACUGUGCUAAGAGAGUAGUUGUUAUCGAUAUAGCUUCUUCUAUAGCUAGUCUAUGCAAGAACUUGGGAUCAGCUAACAAUCUUUCCCUGAACCCCUGCACCAAGAUCAUAUAUGGUUAGCUUAAGCACCUUUUGACUUGGACAAUGUUGCAAGUGAUUUGUUUAUUCUUUCCACUUAAAACACAUACAAGUAUCAUCUUCAUUGGACUUGUGAAUUAUACAAUAAACCAUGACAAUAUUAAUCUACAGAUAAUGGCAUAAUUACAAUAAAUUUCAUUUCAAGAAAUUGAAUAUACCUGGAAGCGAUGAGUGAGCUCUGAAAUAAGAGGAUAUUGCUCCAGAUCGAAAAAGUUCUGCAGGACCUCUGGAGAUACUAAACCAAGGUCAAGUCCUUUUUGAAGGUCCUGUUGCAAAAUUUUCACAAUUAAUCUUUACGAGCAGAGGAAAGCUUUGUCCUUAGUAAUUUGAUAAAUGAUAAUUUUAUAAAAUAUAAAAUAAUAUUGGGGGGGAAGAGAAGGAAGAGAAAAGCUUUUAACCAACAAGGAUACCAUGUCAAAGUACUUAACCUACCAUAUAAAUAUUCUAGCAGCAAUCAAGAAAAUUAGUGGAACUGCGGUUCUUAGAUUACAGUCAACCAUAACACAUGAGAUACUGCAGAAUCUGCAGUUACGUUGACAAACAUCUAGGGAACUAACUAUUAUAGGAAAAACAACAAUUUUUCACACUUUUAAAAAACAUAAUAAACUAAGCGAAAUUUCAGUGAACUUGAUUUAUAGUUGACUUAUUCAUAUCAUUCAAUUAUCAUUAGUUCAUUGUCCAAUAAAUAUAAGCAAGUCAGUCACAUUUAUCAUUUCCCUUUACCAUCUGCGGAUCUAUUACAAGUAAUGACAAGGUGGUAACUGCCAUUCCAAAAGCAUUUUUCAAGUAUCUUAUAGUAUGCAUAUGAAAGAUAAGUCAUUUAAAAGUUCAAACUCUAUUACUUCUAACGUUUGCCAACAUUCGGGAAGGAGCUGAACUAUACUGAUUUAGCAUCCAAAGAAAAGUCAUACUUUUUCCUUAAAAGAGGUGGUAACCAUCCUUAAAAUUGUAUAUCCAAAAAGGUAUCAUUCAAAUCGUAGUACUUGUAUAAACCUUCACACGUUGAUAUUUACGAAGUUAAAUGUGAGUAUCCAUGCAUGUAUUUCUAUGUGUAAACGUGUGGAUCCAUGCAUGUGUUUCUGUGGAUCUUCAGCAUAAAAAUUUGAAAACAUCAAGAUUUUCUUUUGAACCAAAACAUUUAAAAACAUUUCAGUUAAAAAUUGGUAUUUAGAGGGAUGAAACUUAGCACAAAUCAACGGAACAACCUUAAGUCAAUCCACCGAUGCAUCCAAAAAAUAUAUAUACCAAUCAAGUCAAGGAGAUAAAACAUGCAAUACUACCAUGAAGGCUUAAGCACAGCUAACCUGGGGUAGGGCUUCUCGCUGCCUGCCAGCUGCAUUCAUGACUCGAGCAAUUUCAGCACGAUCAAAACAAUUCCGACUGCAAGGUCUGGCUGCAGAAUACCACAAGAAAUCAGCAACAGGGACAUCUCCCUCUCUUCUUAUGUAUUGCCUUUCAGGAUUAAGAAGUAUAGCCACUUGGUUCUUCUUCUGAAUCUUUUUUGAAAUUCUGGCAGGCACCCCUGUCCCUCUAGAACCAAAUUGGACAUGGUUUGCACCAGUCACAACUACUAACAAACUUGUGGCUCCUCCAUCUAAAACUUCUUUCAGAAUAAUUUGGGACAUGUUAUAUUCGUCAACCACUCUUGCUUGUGCAGAUAAAUAUGAACUUGGACCGAAGGGAAUUGACUGAGUCGGGAAAUGAUUUUCCAUAGUCGAUCUGCGUGAAAUAGAACUAAAGCCUGAUAUGAAACCGGAACCAGCUGGAGGAGCAUAUGCCUUACGCUCAGCCUUAGAGAGGCCACAAAUACCUUCAGCUUGCACAGUCCUUAGGAUCUAUGUCAAAUUAAAUAGAAUACUCCAUAUUACAAUUCUCCUUGUGCACAGCUGAACUGAUAGAAUGAUAACAUAAUAAUGGUAAUUUGGUAUGAAUCUAAGACAGAAAAAUGAAAAUUUUCUUUCUCCCUUUCUUAAAACAUAUGAGACCAUAAAUAUCUAGGAUUACAUCAGAGGAUAUCCUCUUCAUCCCUAUUUAAAAUUGAAACCCAUAAGUAACCCAACCAUAAUAAAGAAAAUCAAGUCUUCUGAACAUGAUGCAACUAAUAAGACCUAUUACAACAAGCUGACAAGAUAUUCUAGCCUUUUAGACACCCAAAAUGGUGUAAAUUAUAUCAAUCAGCUUUUCACAACAAACCCAACAGGGUGAUGAAGCAAUAAGUUAACACCAAAAGGAUGAUGGCAGAGUUAAUGCAAAAAGGGUGAGUAGUACAGAAUCCCCAGUGACUACAUAACAACUUAAAAUUACCUUUAAUGGAGUUCCACAAGCAACAAGGCGAACUUCAUUAUCGCGACAAUAAUUUAAAAUGGGUUCAUACUCCUGCCACCUUUGAGCUGACCAAUGUGAAACAAAAGAUUUCAGUCCUUCUCCAGCUAUCCUGUCAACAACAGAACUUUCAAAACUAUAAGCCUUUUCAACACUUAAAUACAGAUGUUCCAAUUUCUUUGCUGCAAUAGAUUGUCUCUAUUUUUAACAAUAUACACACCAGUGUUCAAAUAAUGUGUUAUGAGUGUGUAUAUAUGUAUGAUCAACUUUUAAGUUUUUCUACUAUUAAUAUAUGUUCAGUAAUGCAACUAUAAUCAUUUUGCCCGUACAAUUUCAAUUCAAUCCAAUACAUCUAUCAUAAUAAUGGUUUUUCAAUAUAUAUUUAACAACUGAAAUUUUUACAUUCAAUAAUUAGAAAUUUUCAAUUUACAUGAAAUCAGCAUGUAAACAUUUAACACGAAUAUGAUUGUUGAAUUAAACAGAUAUUAAGUGUGUAAACAAUUAUGAAAUCAUGUAAAACUGAUUUAUUAGAGAUGAAAAUUCAUAUAUGUAUUUAGAAAGAGAAGUCAAUGCAAUAGAAAGUAACCUUUUAGCCAUAAACUGAUCGAGUUGGUUUUGUAAAUCGGAAGGAAAAGCUUCGAGAGCCAAAGCCAACGGCCUCUGGUUCUCAACGCAGCGGUUUUCCAAAUUCUUAACAAUCUCAAGCUCCAAUUCUUUAUCGUCUCUAAUUGGAACUUGCUCAGCUUCUCCUAAAUAAACAAUCCUGGCAUUCAUCAACUUCUCCCACACUUUGCUCUUAUCUUUCCCCACCGCCAACGGCUCCCCGAUAGUUGUAGCGUCGUAUAUCCUCGCCGACACAAGCGCAUCCUCUACGACCACCUUAGGCGGAGGCGAAGUUACCGGAGGGGAAGGCGGCGUUAUCUCCUCGGCCAAGGACUGGGAUUGUUGUAGGAGGAGAGAGCCAGCGGCGGCGAGAAACGGAGUGACUAGAACGGCGCGCCGAGAGACUGCGGAGGAGCGGCGGCGAGCAUCGUGGGGGUUGUCGUGAGGGUGGAGAGAGAGAGUGAGGAGGCGAGUAAAGGAAGGGAGACGGCGUGGUAUGAGAAGGUGAGGUGGGGGUGAAGGACUAAAAUUAGAGGUGAUGAUGUGAACGUGGGGUUUCAUUUUUUCUGAUUUGGAGGAGGAGAGAGUGUCGAUUAGUCGUAGUGGUACAACUACAUUACAUUCCAUACAAGGCCGGUGAGGAGAGGCUAGGAAUCAUUUGAGAUUUUGGAAGUUUGUGUACGAUAAUGAGACUCACACAACUUCCCCAAGUACCCAAACGAAUAACCUAUGGUAUUUUGAAUGCCACGUAGGCUUUGCAUCUGCUACUCUUCUUUUCCGAUAUUAUAGGUCUUAUAUGGUAAAAUUAGUACAUAGGGCAUUAUAUUAAGAGUUAAAUUAUUUAAAAUUUGAGAAAAUUAGUUUAUGUAUGUUAAAAAUUUCAUCAUUUAUACGGUUAAAAAUCAGUGUAGUUGACAAAAUAAUAAAAAAGUGACACGUGGUAUGCGAUGUGUACCUAAUUUUGAUGUAUGAUGACCUUUUUUAACUGUAAAACUGAAUGGAAUUUUUAACUGAUGGACAAGUUUGCUCUUUAAUCUAACAUACAAGAACUAGUUUGCCCCAUUUUUUUAGUAGAAGGGCAAAACGUAAUCCAAUUCUUAAUACAAUGGCCUCCAUAAUACUUUUACCAUCUUAUAUCUAUCUAUUAAUAAAAUAUUAAAAAUAAUAAAUAACAAAUUUUAGUACUCCUUCAUUUUAAAAUUAAAUAAACUUAAACAUAGUAAAAUUGAAAGAUUUUAAAUUAAAAAUAAAAUAGUAGAUGUCCUCAAGCUUCAAAUUAAUUUCAUUUUUUUAAAAAUAAAAAUCAAUUUGUAUAAUAAGAGAAAUUAACACAUAACCUAAUAAGCUGAAGUGUCAUCUUUGGUAUUGUAGUUUCUUCAAACCUAUUCUCUCUCACUCCUUGCGUUUACUUCUCCACUCUGUUUCUACUCUUUAUCCUUGUUUACUCGUUUUAUUCUCUUUUUCUCUACAAAACGUCUUUGCUUUUGUCUUGUCUUGGCCCCGUGAUAAUAGUGGUGAGCAGCUCAAAAUCAAUAAUCGUAAUUCACAAAGUAAUAAUAUGUAUUCGCGAAAAUAUGACAAAUUUAAAAUCUUGUUUACCGCAAAUGUACAGUUGCCAAUAAGUAAUAUAACAAAACAUUCGUUCACGGAGUAUUCUUAUAAAUGAAACCACCAUGUUAAAUGUUUUGAUAUAACAAAUAGUUUUUACAUUAAAUUUGGUGAGUGAAGUCUGCUCUCUACCAUGAUUUUAGUCUGCCCUUCUUGACACAAUUUUGUCGGUUCUGUUUUCUAGUUUUUUUUUAUUUUUUUAUUAUUGGUUUCGAUUAGUGUCUCAAUGAAGGAUGAUAUGGCGAAUCUUCGCCUUUUGGAUGAGGAAGAGGAUGCUUUUUAGGAGGAUGCAAAAGUGAUGGAACAGGAUAUGGAGUUUUCAUUGGUUGGAACUGUUUGACCGAUAGCGUGGUUCACUUUUCGUCUCUCCAAAAUACCAUAGCUGAUUUAUGGCACCCUAUUGGUGGUACCGCUAUAACUGGUAUAGGAGAGAAACGUUAUUUAUUUAAGUUUUUUCAUGUGGUUGAUAUGAACAGAGUUUUAGACAAUCUUCUAUGGGUUUUUAAUAACCAUUUGUUAUUAUUAAAACCAAGUAAAAAUCAUUUUUCCGCUAUCAAGAUUAAAAUUAAAAAUUGUGAGUAAUAAAUAAAUGGAAAAUUAAUUAAGUUUUUCUUAAAGAAGUCAUCGUUACUCUAGAAAUUUAAAUUAAAAUAUUUUUUAUAACUCGUCAGCUUUUCUGAAAAUAGACUAAAUUUUUUUAAAAAUAAAUAAAUGUUUUAAAUUGACUGUUUUAUAAACUCCGGUCAUACUAGAUCAUCUCAGUGGUCGAUGUAAUCUCACAAAUUCGGAUCUAACGUCUAAGUUAAGUUAAGAUGUUACAAUCCUUACAAUUCAAAGAGCAUAAAACUCUUUUCUUUCUUUUCUCGUAUGCAUGGACGAUGGUAGAAGAUGAUAAUAUUGGUUCUUAGUUUUGUCUCUUUCUUUCCACUAUCUUUUAUCAAUUAACUUAAUUACUUUAAUCAACUUAUUUUUAAUCAAUGGUCGUUAUUAAUUCUUACUAACUUAGUGAAUAUUAAUGGCUCAGAUCAUUUCAAGCCAUUAACUUAUUUUAAACAUGGCUUAAUUACCUAUAAGGAUAUGUAAUAAUCACCAAACAAGGACAUGUACAAAACUUUAAUUAACUCCUUUAAUAUACUCACUUCAAAAAUUAGUCAUUGUACUAUUUACACAACUUAAUUCAUUUAAUUACUACUCAGUUCUAUUCAUUAAUCUCACAUACGACUUACUAACUUCUCGAUUUAAAAUUUAAAAUUACUCGGUUUUCAAUAAUUCAACCUUAAACCAUAUUGUUUCGACACUUAUGAAAAUUGUGUCGUUACAAAUUGAGUCUUUUUGGACCCACCACCAAAGCUAUUGUUGCAUCUCUCGGUUCUUAAUUUUAGUGCUAUUAUAUGUUUCUUUUUUAUAUAUAUUUUGCGAAUUAAAUAUUGAGAAUUUGGUUAAAUUUGUUGAAAAUUGAGAUAACAAUCCUUUUGGGUGUAAUUUAUACAGAGGAUGGUAUGGUUUUUACUUAUAAAUCUUGGUGUACUGUGCCUAGGAGAGAAGCUUGUUAAGUUCUUCAUGGGAUUGUGUGAUUUGUUGCAUUUGCCAUUACCUUUAGAGGAAUGAAAAGAAAAUGUUUUUAACAAGCACCAAGUAACCUAAAUUUGUCACACCCAUGAUAGAGCUAGGUUUAUCAGCUGUCAUUUUUCUUUUAACGAACUAAAUUUAUAGAAUUUAUAAAUGUGGAUGGUUAAAUUUAUUGAAUUAUUUAGAAUUAGGGUGAAUUUGAUAGAAUGUGAAAGUUUUAAAGACUAAUUAUGUUAUUAUACAGUAUGUUCUCUCUAUAAAAGCCACCUCCUAUAAUGACAUGUCCUUGUGACAACCAAAUUUCUAAUAGAAUUGAUUUUUUAUGAUUUAUUUUAAACCUCUAUAACAACUUUUCACUUGUAAAAGCAACAACCUUAGUUAUGAAGUACAUUUUUUUAUUAAAUUAGUUCUCUAUAACAACAUAUUGUCUAAAAUUUUAAGUAAAAUUAUAACUAUUUCAUAUAAGCAAACCUGUUAAUUGUAAUUUAUUAAAUAAAAAUGAUCUUAAUUAAAAUGUUAUUUCAAUAAAAUGUUUAAAUUUCACAUGAAAAAAAUCUAUUAAUCAUAUUUUAUUAAAUGAAAUAAUCUUCACUUAGUGGAAUUAAAGAUAUCAAUGCAACAUUAAGUUCCUUAAUCAAAUAUUCUACUAUAAAUUUAAAACAUCAUAAACUUAUAAAUUGAUUACUUGAACUUAAUAACUCAUGAUAAAUUAAUUAAUUCAAUUUUAUAACUCAGACCGAUUAAUUGAACUUGUUAGAUUUAUGAAUUUUAUAAUUAGUCAAGUGAAAAAAUGUAAAGUAAAAGAUGCAUAAAAGCAAUAAUGCAUGCACCUCCUAUACAUCUUUUAAUUUUGUUGAUUUGAUUCUCACUUUCAUUCUUUUUCGAACAUAAUUUUUUCUUCAUUUGAUGGAAUUGGUUUACAACAAUUAUCUCUCUAUAUUGUUAUAUGUGUAUAACCACCACAUCUCUGACAAACAAAUGAGGUUGUUAUAGAGAAGAUUGACUAUAGCAAAUAAAAAAGGUCACCUCGCCAUUUAUGUUAACAAAUUAAUUAGGAUGACCAAAAUAGAAAUAAAUGAUAAUGUUAAUGACCAAAUUAUUUUUUUUUGUUUAGUAACCAAAACAGAAACACACUAAUAAUUGAGUGUGUAAUGACCCAAAAUUCACAAGCAUCGGAAAAGUACAUUAUCAGGCCUCCGUCUUAGUAAAUUGAGUUCGAAAAUAAUUAUUAGAAAUAUUUACAAGACUAGUUGUGUGAUUAAUUAGGUUUUAGAUAGGUGAAUUUAGCUUAAUUAAGAGAAAUUAGGAAAAAGAAUUAAAUUGAAUAAAGUGUAAAAGUCUAAUUAUAGAUCAAAAGAAAAUAAGAGGGACUAGAUAGGUAAAUAAGCCAAUGGCUUAAGAAUAGGCGGCAAUACAUGGAAAAAUCUUAGAUUUUUUUUCUUGAUUAAUAUUAUAAAAAAUAUUAUUUAAUUAAAAACAUUAUAAAUUAUAUUAAUUAAAGUUAAGAUAUUAUAUUAAGAAAUAAAUUAAAUAAAGACAAAUGUACGGUGAUGAUUUAAUACAAGUGUAUUAAUAAAAUACAUACAUUUGUAAGUAUUAUAAUUAAUUAUUAAAUAGAUAUUUUAUUAAAUCGUUAUAUUAAAUUAUUAUUGUAAUUAUUUUUAUUAUUAUCAUAUUAUGUAAUAAAUUAAGAAAAGAUAAAUGUAGGGUGUAAAAUAAAUGUAUGAUUACUUAAAAUUUAAGUAUAAAAAUAUUUAUAAAUAUUAAUUAAAUAAAUAUAAAUUAAAUAAAUUAAAUGGUGCCAAAUGUAGGGUGAUAAAGUUGUACAAAUGUAGUAAAGUAUGUAUAUACACUUGUGUUAUAAUUAAAAGAUAUUUAUUAAUUAAAUGAUUAUUAUAUUAUUAUAAUAUAAAGUAAAGAAAUAAAAAUAAAACAAAAUAAAAGAAAGAAACAAAACAAAGAAGAGAAGAAACAGAGAGCAAUUCGAAACAGGGGAAAGGAAAGAAGAAAAGAAAAGGGAAAGGGAAAACUAGGAUUUUGAUGCUUAAAGCUUUGAUUGGUAAGUUAAUUAAGCCCUUUUUUACUUAAUUUUGAUGUUUUAGAAGUUUUAAAACAAAGUUUUGUUGAAAAUAAGUUGAGGUUUUGGAAGUUUAUAGGUUUUUAAGCAUGGUUCAUGUUGGACAAAUUGUUAAAUUAGGGAUUUAAUUGAAUGAAUUUUAAGUUAGAAUUGAUAAAAGGAUUAAAUUGUGAAGUAAGUUAUAAGUUUUAUGUUUUAGGGACUAAAUUGAGGAAAAUUCGAAAUUAGGAAAAUAUGCUGAAAUUUUAAUAGUUAAAUUUGAGUUUGGAUGAAAUUUGAAUAGAAAUAGAGUGUGAAUUGAAUUAGGAAAUUAAGUAAACUUAGUUAAGAUUAAAUUGGGAAUAAGGUAAGAAUUUAUUAGAAAUUCAAUUAUUUAUUUUAAUUUAAUGCUGUAAUUAAUAGCGAAAAUUAUUAUUAUUUUCGUAGCUAACAAAGAACCCGAGGCAUCGGCAUCAAAAGGAAAGGAGAAAGCUAUCGAGGACUAAAAUGGGAGAUAUACAGUUUGUAUUACUAUAAUUUGAAUUUAUUUAUUUUCAAUUAUUAAAUUUCAAUUAAAGUACUUGGUAAGUGAAAUUGAGGUGAGUAUUAAAAUAUUGCAUUGAAUAAAAGUGAAUAAAAUGAAUUGAAUCGAAGUGAAAUUAUCUGAACUGUGUAUUGAUUAAAAAGUGGAAAGUGAAAUUGAAUUGAAUUGUGAUUGAAACGAAAGUGAAUUUGAAAUAGAAAAAUGAUUUGAAUAUCCUAUUAACUAGUCGGGCUGAGUCAAAUAUAGUUGGCAUGCCAUAGGAUUGGAAGAGUCAAGGGAUACUUCGACCUCGAGUCGAUGAGACACUGGGUGUCACUAUAUUUCUUCGGAUAGAUUUGAUGAGGUAUUGGGUACCAACUUACUUCGACUUGGCCGAUGAGACACUGGGUGUCAACUUUGCUUCAAACUAUCCGAUGAGGCACUGGGUGCCAUUCUGGUGUGUUUGGUUGGAUCCGUGUAUCGGCCAAAGUCUGAGUCUUGUUAAUAGGGGCAAAUAAAUGGAAUAGCAAAAAAAAAUCGAAUAAAAAUGAUCGACUUUAUUCAUGAAAUGAAAAGUGAAUUGAAAUUGAGAAAUGAGAAUGAAAAGAAUGAAUCAAAGAUUCAUGAAGAGAUUUAUGUUCAAAUGAAAUGUUAUAUGAUAUUAAAUUGAUGAAUAGCCAAAUUGAGUUGUUAUUGUUGAGAAAUGAAAGUUAAGAAUAAAUUAGUUUAUUUAUGAAUUAAUUGUUAUAUAAUUUGACAUGUUUAUUUGUUAUUUUACUUAAAUAAUUUAAAUUAUAGUAAUACCACUGAGUAUGAAAUACUCAGCGUACGGUUAUUUUCGUGUGCAGGUCAUUAGGGUUCAAGGUCCAGUUCAGCAUCCAGAAAGAUCCCGACUCCAUCAAGAAAAUUUUGGUGAUGUAUUUCUUCCUUUUGUUUAAGUGGCAUGUACUAGGUGAUUGAACACGAGUUGUAUAUAUAUAAAUAUAUAUAUAUGCUAAAUGAUCUUGGUUGUGAGUAAACGGUUAUAAUCUUUUGAAUGAUAAAUAAAAUAGUGAAUCAAUUUAUUGAUUGAAAUAUUGGUAUUGGGUUGUUUUUGGUUUUAAGUUUGCAAGGGGUUUUAAGUAAAAAUAAGCAACAAUACUGUCGAAAUUUUUAAAAUAAUAAAAAAAGAAGCCAAUUAGCAUAAAUUUAUAUGAAUUUAUGAUUCUUUUAUAUAUGUUCGUUGUUUAUUUAAGAAUUAUUUGUAAAUUGUUUGAUAUGUCCGGUAAUGCCUCGCAACCCUGUUCCGGCGACGAUUUGGGGUUAGGGGGUGUUACAGAGUGAGUAAUUGUUAGAGCUAACAAAGGGGCGAGAUUGAAUCAGGCUUACUACAGGCUCGAAUUUUCAUAGACUCGAAUUUUUCUGGCUAAGGCUUUCUUGUGCUCAAAUUUUGUUGGAUUUGGUCUCAGAUCGAGUCGGGCGGAUUCUAACGUAUUCAAAUAAUUUUGAAUUUUAUAAGUUAUAAAUAUUUUAAUUUCGAAUGUAAUAAUUCAUUUUAUUUUUAUACUCUAACACCCCAAACUCAACCUAGACGUUACUGUCGAAUUUUGAAGGUUACAUCAUUACGUAAAAUAUUGCCCGUUAAUUCAUGAAAACUUAAUUUUAAAUCAAGAAUAAAUAAAAUUGAUUAGUCUAUCAAAAACAUAAGUAUUUAGAUAAUCGUAUGAGAUCACUUUGACGAAAACAUUAUUUUACUGAUUUGAUUAAAAAAAACCCAUUCAUUUAACUAGUUGCAUUGUAUAACAUCGUUUUUUAUUUCAAAACCUGCAGCGAAAAACACUUAAGAGUUCUUAGCUUGUAAAAUCUUAAUAUUUCAUCAGUUAUAUCUGGUUAAAAAUGUCAGUUAUAAGUAGUGCGUUUGCAAGAUAAAUUUCAAACACAAAUUAAAGUCCCUAAACAAAUCAAAAUGUCCGUAAAGUCAAAAAUUAAAUCCAAACAUACUUAAAAACAAAAUGUCUGAACCGAGCUUCGGAAUCGCCGCCAAAUCUUAAUUCUAAGGUUCACCUGGAAAGUGUAAAAAAUAAACGAGUGAUCUAAAAUUUCAGUGUGUGACUUGGCCCACAUACACAAUUUUACUUAUAACAUACAUAAAUGCAAUUAUCCGAACAUAAUUUCAUAUUUUAGAAAUAUAUAACAUAUCAAAACAAAUCCUACCCCCAUCCGCUACACAUUAUCUCCGGCCAACCAAUCACAUUAAUUAGGACUUCAUGAGUCCAUCCAUCCAAUCACAUCGGUAAGUGGUGGUAUGCCAUUCAUAAAUAUGAAGUUGAGCUGUCAGGCACAUAUUGCAGUUUAACCGCUAGAAUUUAUAAUAAAAAUGCCAGAAUACACUUCCUCCAUCAUAUCAAACCCACCCCAACACACAUGCAUAAUCAUAUUAACAUACUUAUAAAUCAUAUGAAUUGAGUGGCAUGCGUACCUAAACAUACUUUUAUGGGUCAUAUCAUAUUGCAUAACUUAUACAAAAUUAAGCCUACUCAACAUGCUUUCUAAGCAAACUCAUGUAUAACAUGUCGAAUUUUAUGCUUUUAUAAGCCUACAAAAUGCUCACAAAGUCAAUUUUAGAGUCCCUUAAUUGGCCCCUAAUCGGGCCUUCAAAUUGGCCAAAAAGGGCCCACACACCCGUGUGGUCCACAUAGUCUACCUGUUUGGGCCGUGUAAUCACACACGACCAUGUGCUCCACACUGCCUGGCACACAGCCAACCACACAGUUGUGUGAUGCAUAUGGUUUGUCACACGGCCUGCCACACGGCCAUGUGACUUUGGGCAAUUUCGAGACUAGCCCCUGUUUUUAGGUUUUUUCGAGUUUCAGCCAAGUUUUCGAGUUAGUUUCACACACCUGAUGACAAUUUUGAUUAACUACACAACUGGGAACUCACGAAUCCUACAAUCAAACAUUAAAUCACAAAUUAACCUUCAAGAAUCCACUCAAGAUAACAUCCAUUUAUUAAAAAUUCAAUCCCUAAAGCGAUGUUGAGCACUUACUUAUAAGAAAAUAGAGUCAAAAUAAGCAAUUACUCCGCUGGAGAAUUUCAAUUCUCACGCCCUUCGCCUAAAAAAAAAACCACGAGAUCACUUAUCAUCACGUAGAACAAGAAUUAAACACUAAUCAAUUCAAACCUUGCUCAAGAACGAGUUAAAAUUUGAUAUCAGAAAAAUGGAUCAAUGUUACUUACCUUUACUCGGAUUUACUAUCGCAAACGAAGAAUAAAAAAGAUAGUCACAUAACAACCUUAAUGGCAGCAAGGUAAGAAGCAAAUCAAGAAGAAAGAUGAGAUGGAAAUUCAAGAAAAAGAAAAGAAAAGAAAGAAGAGGGAAAAGAAGAAAUGUGAGAGGGGAAACAAGAGAGGAAACGUGAAUAGGGGAGUGGGGAAAAAACUGAACAGUGUAGUUGGUGAGUGAAUUUAGGGAUUUUGAUAAUUUUAACAAAACAAAAAUAAUAAUUUAAACAAAUCCUAACCCAACUACCAACCAAUGGCAAUGAACAAACACACGACCAAAGGUUUAGAUUUAAUCAAAUGAUCUGGGAUAGGAAUUGAGCCAAAAAUUAACAAAAUUUCAAAAGAAAUUACUUAAACCCACAACCUUACACGCAUAAUCACAACACUCAACCCCUAAACCAAAUUAAAUUAUUUGAUAUAAUUUAACAUUCCAAAUAAGAAAAUUUGGGGCGUUAGGAUGACAACGUAAUUUAAAAUUGUCUAACAAAAAGAAUAAGUUAUAUAUAUUUAAUAAAAUUAUUUUAUAUAAAAUAAUUAUAAUGCUUAUUGUAUAUAAAAUUUAUUAUUUUGUGAUAUUAUAUGAAUUAACGAAAAUACCUUUUAUUGUUCAUUAUUAUAUUAUAUUGACAAUUAAAUAAAAUUUUGUAUUUCUUAUUAAAUUUAUAAACCUAAUAUUCAUACUAAAAUAUUUAUUUGGAAACUCAAAUAUAUUAGAGUAAACUCAAACCCAAAUAAUAUACUCAUUAUUACCCAAACUCAAAAUAAACUAAUUAUAGCACAAUCUCAAGUUUAAAAUAAAAAGAAAUUAAACCCAAUACCCAAAUACACUUUAUAAAAGUUAAAUCUCAAUUCAAAAUAUAAUUUAAUACAAACAAUAUUUUAUUAAGAUAAUAAAUUUUUAAUAAUAUUUUAUGUAUUACUAGUUAUAAUUAUAAACAUAUAUUUUAAUAUACUAAAUUACACAUAACUAUUUAUGUUAUAUCUUUUAUUAUAAUCUAUAAUAUAAUAGUUAUAUAUAUCAAUACUUAUAGAAUAUAUUAUUUCACUAUAUAAUACUAUAUCGCAUACUAUAAAAGUAGAGUAGUACAUAAUAUAAUAAUUAUUAUUAUAAAUUAUUGUUUAUUAUUAUACUAGUUGAAGUAUGCUCUAAGUCUCAAUACUUUUCGUACUUUUAAAAGCUAGCCCUCCUACUAUAGUAUAUAAUAUAUAUUAAUAGUUUAUAUAUAUGCGUCAAUGAUUAAACAUUAUAAUAUCAGGUAAUACUAUAUCUUUUAUUAUAACCUAUAAUAUAAUAGUAGUUAUAUGUAAUAGUAGUACAUUAUAUAUUAUUGUUUAUUUUAUAAUGGUUGAAAUAUUCUCUAAGUCCCUAUACUUUUCAUAUAUUUUAAAGUUAUCCCUCCUAUUAUAUUAUAUAAUGUUAUAUCAUAUUAUAUAGUAUAUAAUAGAUUAAUAAUUUGUAUAUGCAUCAAUGAUUAAACAUUAUAAUAUCAUAUAAUAUUAUAUGUUUUAUUAUAAUCUCUAAUAUAAUAAUAGUUAUAUAUAAUAGUAGUGUAACACCCUUUACUUGAGUUUGUACUUGAGUUUGUACCGAGUUAGGAAUGUUACGUUUGAGAAUAAAUAUUUUAUUCAAGAACCAAAAUACCAUAACAAAAAUUAUACAACAAUACUGACGUUCCGAAGCACAUACAACCAAUAGCGAGUUAGAAGAGAACAAAUGCACAAAAAUCAAGUAGAACAAAAAUCAGAGUGCUGUUAACGAAAGAAGUAAAUGAUCAAAAGAAGAAAAAAUGGGAGAAUUUUUUACUAUUUUUAAAAAUAAAAGGAUAAUAUCCUACCAUAUCCAUACUAAUCGAAUUAGUUAUCCACUUAGUUAGGUUGUUAGGAAUUUGAGUUUGAUUCACUUUCAGUGUUAUAGGCGGCAAAGCAGACAAAGUAAAAAUUUAUUUUGUUUUACACAUAAGAUUCAAACACAUGACCUUUAAGUAAAUUAAUGACUUACCACUAAAUCAACAGGCUCAUUCUUACAAACAAGCUAAUAAGAUUAAAAUAUAACUCACACGGGCCGAGCCAAGAGAAGGAAUAAUAAAAAUAAUACUAAAUUUUCAAGGAAAGAAAUUUAAAAAUAAAACCUCAAGCACACCUCCAAAGUACUUAAUCACUAAACCAAAAUAGAUUACUUAACAUGAUUUAACAAUUUAAAUCUAAGAAAUUUAGGGCGUUAUACAACCACAGCAUAUCUAACUUAAUUAUUUGAAAUAAAAAUAAAGUUAACACAAAAACUUACCUAUUUUAUUAAGAAUUUCCUCCCUUUUGCUCUUCCCUUUUCUUCCUCAAAUUCAAGACUAUCCUUCUCUUUUCUUCUAAAUUUAUCCACUUCCAUCUACUAAUUUCUUGCUUUUAAAUUGAUGAACAUACUUUCUAAAGUCUCUACUUCAAUUUUCUUUCGGUGCUUUUGGAAUUUUCCAAGAAAUUUGGAAGAAAUAAUGGGAUUACGUGAUAAGGGGCCAAAAUGUAAGAAAUGAGUUCUUCCCCAUUUUAUGAUGGUGAUGGAGUUGGAGCAUUGAGAAGUAUGAUGAAUUUUCUUCAUAUUUCUAUGCAAAAAUCUUAUAAUAAAAUAUUAUGAAAAAAUAUUAAUAAAAUAUUUUAACCAAUCAUGUUUGAACACCAUUUCCUACUAAUUAUUAUCAUGAUAAUUCAUGAUAAAUAUCUUGAGUGUGAAAUGACCAUUUUGCUCUUUUGAUAUCUUAAUAUUGACUUGUGUGCCAUUUUUUGGUAAAAUUAUAAUUUAGUCCCUUGUAUUUUUUCACUUAUUCAAUUUGGUCCUUAUUCACCAAUUAAUUUUCUUCUUUAGUCUUUUCCUCCUCCGGGGUAUUUUCACAUUUGGUCCUUUAUCUUUUUAUAUUUAUAUUUUGAAUAUUUACACUAAUGCCACAACCCUUUUCACAUUUUUAUAAUUUAGUCACUGCUUUAAAUUAAUAUGUCAUGUCAUACUUCUUGGUUUAUCUUCCUUUGGUAUCCAACGUGCUUCACUCUUGUACAUUAUUUUACUAAGAAUCUAUCACAUACUGUUUACGACCAAAAGGUUUUUGGGAUGUUACAAGUAGUAUAUUAUAUAUUAUUGUUUAUUAUUAUACUAGUUGAAAUAUGCUCUAAGUCCCUAUACUUUUUGUACACUUGAAAGUUAGCCCUUCUACCAUAGUAUAUAAUGUUAGAUCAUAUUAUAUAGUAUAUAAUAUAUUAAUAGUUUAUAUAUAUGCAUCAAUGAUUAAACAUUAUAAUAUCCUAUAGUAUUAUAUCCUUUAUAUUUAUAUAUAAUAAUAGUACAUUAUAUAUGACUUAUUAUUAUAUAUUAUUGUUAUUAUUAUACUAGUUGAAAUAUAUUCUAAGUCCUUAUACUUUUCAUACAUUUGAAAGUUAUCUCUCUUACUAUAUUAUAUAAUGUUAUAUCAUAUCAUAUAAUAUAUUAAUAAUAUAUAUAUACAUAGAUGAUUAAGCAUUAUUAUAUCAUGUAAUAGUAUAUAUUAUAUUAUUUUAUGGAGUAGUAAUAUAGUAAUUUAGUAUUUUGGCUUAAGGUAAAAUAAAGUAAUCGGUUUCGUUUUUGGUAGUAGUAUUAUCAUUAAAGUUUAAUUUUAUAGAUUUUAAAAAUAAUUAAUUAUAUAUAUUUAAUACAUAUAAAUAAUUAUAGUAUUAAUAAUAUUUUAUAUUAGAUGAAUAUUUUUAAAAAUUUAGUUCACAUUAUAGUUUAACCUAAAAAUUAUUAAUAAUUACUAAAUAAUAAAAUUUUAAUAUAAAUAUAUAAUGGUUAUGAAUACACUUUUAAAAAAAAGUAAAGCAUUAUCAUUUAUUUUAUUUUAAAUAAUAUUAUAAAAUUAUAUUAAUUAUUAAUAUUUAUUAUGGUUGUUGAAUUAUAAACAUGUCAUUUUGGAUUUAUCUUAAUCUCGGGUUUUUUGGAGCUCUAUCGAGCUUAGGCUUUUUGGGAUUUGAAUUUGUUAACCUCUCUUUUUCUUUUUUUUUUCAAUUAUGGGUAAUAUAAAGCUGAAUAGCAGUCUCACAAGUUGGUGUCCCUAACUGUAACCACCAUUUUAUUUUUCGGAAAGCUCCUCAAAUGUUAUGCUUAGGUUCCCUUCCACCCUCUCCCAAAUGGAAAAACCAAUCAUAUCUUGUUCAAACCUUUUCAACUAUUCUCAUUCUCCUCCAAAACUCCCACUUUCCAGUUACAUCGAUAUCAAUAAUCCCUUCCACUGUUUAGAAUCAUGCCAAUCUCCCAGGGAACUUAAGCAACUGCAUGCUUUAACCCUCAAAACAAGACCUCUCCAAACCCAACUCAUUUCCUCCAAAAUAUUAUCAUUUCUUAUCCCUUUUUCUUCCCCUGAAAGCGUUACCUAUGCUAGAGAACUUGUCAACCACUUAAACCCUCCUUAUUUGCAACUGCAUUUUUACAAUUCCUUAAUUCAAGCCCUCACGAAUUCCUCACAAGCCAUAGCAUUAUAUGGCGAAAUGAUAACCAAAUGUAUUUAUCCUGACACUUAUACUAUCCCUUAUGUUCUAAAAUCAUGUGCCCAAUCCCAUGCCCUGGAAGGAGGCCAACAAAUCCAUGCACAUUCCAUUAAGUUUGGUCUUAGUUCCAAUGUUUAUGUUCUCAACACUUUGAUGCGUCUUUAUGCUGUUUGUGGGUUUACUCAUUCUGUUAAAAAACUGUUCGAUGGAAGUCCUGAAAGAGACUUGGUGUCUUGGACCACCCUUAUUCAAGCUUUUGUUAAAAUGGGUUUUGCCAAGCAAGCCAUCCAAGCUUACUUUGAUAUGUGUAGAGCAAAUUUAAGACCCGAUAAAAGGACAUUGGUCGUCAUCCUUUCGGCUUGUUCUAGGUUAGGAGACUUGAGCUUAGGCACCCGAAUUCAUGAAAAUAUAUGUGAUAUUCAUGAUAUUUAUUCGGAUGUUUUUGUUGGCAAUGCAUUGGUCGAUAUGUAUAUGAAAUGUGGCGAUGCGGACUCUGCUCGCAAGCUGUUUGAUAAAAUGCCUGUUAAAAAUGUGGUUUCUUGGAAUUCCAUGAUAUCUGGCCUAGUUCAACAAGGACAAUUCAAGGAAGCAUUGCAUGUUUUUCAUGACAUGCAAAGGAUAGGUCUUAGGCCUGACAGUGUUACUCUAGUUGCCGUUUUGAAUGCUUGUAGUAAUCUUGGGAAGCUGGAGUUAGGAAAGUGGGUUCAUGCAUAUAUUGAUAAAAAUCAAAUCAAGGCAGACGGGUUUGUAGGAAAUGCGUUAGUGGAUAUGUAUGCUAAGUGUGGAAACGCAGAACAAGCUUUUGGUGUGUUUCAAGGAAUGGAAUGCAAAGAUGUCUUUUCCUAUACUGCCAUGAUUGUGGGAUUCGCAAUGAAUGGAGAAGCCGAGAGAGCAUUGGAUAUCUUUGCAGAGAUGCCGAUGGUAGGCAUCAAACCAGAUGAAGUGACAUUUGUUGGUGUUCUUUCUGCAUGUAGUCAUGCAGGAAUGGUAGAGGAGGGUUGGAGGCACUUUGAAGACAUGUCAAGAGUUUAUAAUCUGGAACCUCAAACAGAGCACUAUGGUUGUAUGGUUGAUCUUUUAGGCCGUGCUGGACUAAUAAGUGAGGCAGAAGUAUUUAUAGCAAAUAUGCCAAUUGAACCUGAUGCUUUUGUUUGGGGUGCACUACUAGGAGCUUGUAGCAUUCAUGGAAAAGUUGAGCUUGGGGAAGCCAUAAUGAAAAAACUUGUAGCUAUCGAACCUGUAAAAGACGGAGCAUAUAUACUCAUGUCGAACAUCUAUUCGUCUGCAAAUAGGUGGAAAGACGCACUAAAGUUGAGGAAGGCAAUGAAAGAAAGAAAAAUGAAGAAGGCUCCUGGUUGUAGUUUAAUCGAAAUCAAUGGUGUUGUUCAUGAGUUCCGUAAGGGAGACAAAUCACACCCUAGAAAUGAGGAGUUAAGGAAGGUGCUGGGAGAAAUGGCGAUUCACUUACAGAACCAUGGUCAAUUUCCUACUAGCAACUUCAUCACAUGAUACAGCUCAUUGAGAUAGUGGAGAAUGACUUCGUGUGGGAAAAUGGAGGCAGUGAGGCAUAUUUGUUUGGCUUUCUCACAAGGUAGUAUUAAUAAAAUAAGCAGGUUGAGAAAAUUAUGGUUAAUAUUCACAUGUAUAGAUGCCUAGAAAAGCAGUAAGUUUCUUAGGUCAGUCCUUUAAUAGUGAUACAAGAGUGCCGUUCAAGAAGAGAUAAUAAACACCGACCUCCAUACUUCCCAUAUUUACCAGAAAAAAACAUCUCAGCAUGUGAAAUGAAAGGGGUCAAAUUACUCAAGUUCUUCCGCUCAAAGAAACAAAGGAAGCGGUUUGAGCUUUUUAAGUUCGAAUUUUUUCGGACUCGAAUUAUUAUGGACUUGAACUUUCUCUUGUUCGGAUAUUAUUGAGCUCUAAUCAAUUUGGACAAAGUUUUGGGCUCGGACCUGUUUUACCUGCUCUACUUUCUUUGUUGUGGUACGAGAAUAUUUUUCCUAAAAUAAAAACUGUUGCUUAGUUAUUUAGAGUGCUUCCCAAUGCCCAGUCUCUUUGGUGAGAUCUCUGAUGCCUAGUUUAGUUAUUUCCUUGAACAUUAGUAAAAGAUCAAAACUCUGAGCUAGUCUUAAUUUUUUUUAAUAUCAUCAUUGUAAUACCCAAUUUAUGCCCGGCCCGCAUACAUUUAAAAAAAACAAAUAAAUAAAUAAAUAUAAAGCCAAAUAGGUAUAAAUUAAAAGUCCAAUGCAGUCCAGUGUUACAAAUUUAAUAAAAUCCAAGCCCGGAUUACAUUAAGCCUCAACCCAAAACCCACUAACUUAAUACCAGUCCAAAAAUUAACCCAAACAAUUAAGGUCCAAAAUCUAAUAAUACCCAAACCCGAAACAGACCGUAAACCCAAACCCGAUUACAAAACCCGAAAUACCUAAACAGCCUAGAAAAACCCGAAUAAACUCAAUACCCAAAAUAACCCACUAAAAUUCAAACCAGCCAAACCCUAGCCCAAUAUUGGAGGCGGUUUCUGGAACUGUUUGCAUUGUGGCUGAAACCAGGGGUUCUCUGCACGCAUCAACGAUGUCUCUGCACGUGCGUCCACUCCAGCUGUACCUGCAACAGACGCAACAAACAAGCAGCAAACAGAAAGAGAAAAGGAAAAUAACAAAAUAGCAACAGAAAAGAAAAUAGGAGAAAAAUAGAAGGAAAAAUGGAUGUAUUUUUGGGGCUAUAAAACCCCAUUUCUGUAUUGUUUCGAGGAUCUUUUUUUCCACGCAUAUUGAAAUACAAAAAAAAAAUCAAUCAAAAAGGAAAAGAAAUCAGAUUUGAAAAGGGUUCACCAUUUUUUUUUCUCUGCGUUUCUUUACUGUUUUCUUUUGUUUUUUAUACGAAGAAGAGAAAAGUGAAGGAAAAAGAAGAGGGAAAGGAGAACGAGCUUACCUGGUGGCCGAUCUUCCUUCUACUCCGUCGCAAUCGGAGUCGAAUGGAGGAUAAAGGCACGAAACGGCGCAAGAGAAAGGGGAGUGAUUAGGUUUUUUUAGUUUUAUUUUAGAUGACUGAUUAAUUCCAAUUAGGUUUUUUUUUUUUUAGAUUUAUGCAAAUUAUUUAAAUGGUGCCGUUUAAAGUCUUCUUCCAUGGCUUCAAAACGGCAGCGUGUUAGCCAUACCCGUGCGGUGACCCGAUCCGUGGGGAGGAUCCGCGCUUUUUGUGCUAUGGUUUAUUUUUACAUUUAACCCCUCUGCAUUCUGUUUUCAUUCGAAUUCAGUCUUUCUUCAAUUUCUAAAUUUUUACGGCAUGUUUGACACAGUUUCCAUUUAGAUCCCUGAUUGAACGGUGUCGUUUCAAUUAAUUGGAUUUGAAUGCCUAAAUUUGUGCGUUUAAUUGCAGUUCAAUCCCAUAAUUUUGAAUCGAUUACAGAUUAGCCUCUCUUUUAUGUUUAUUUCUGUUUGUUGCCUAUUUAAUGUUGUUCUAGUUCCAAUUUGACCUUUGAUCUAUUAUUUUAUUUUAUUUUUAUUUUUUCUUUUUCUCUUUAAAUUAUGUUUUAUUUCUAAUUUAGUUUUUUUAUUAAUUUAAUUUUAAAUCUAAUUAGUGC
rnacentral:lncRNA from 1 species